CGUAAGUGUUUCACUAUCUUAUCAUUUCAAAUUCCAAAUUUCCAUAGUGUUGGGUUACCUUGUGGAAUAAUUUUGCGAUUCAUUUAUGUGCUUUGGUCUAUAACAGAGCAUGCCUAUAUGGUGGAGAUGGUACUCCUGGGCUUGUCCAAUAGCAUGGACCUUGUAUGGAUUGGUUGUAUCACAGUUUGGAGAUAUACAGAAAGACCUUACCGAAACUCAAACAGUGAAAGAAUAUGUGAAGGAUUAUUUUGGUUUCGACCAUGAUUUUCUUGGAGUAGUCGCAGCGGCAAUUGUUGGGUGGACUGUCCUCUUUGCUUUCAUAUUUGCCUUUGCUAUCAAGGCUUUCAACUUCCAGAGGCGAUAGAAAUUUUAUUUACACACACACACACACACAUAUAUGCUUUUACUUUAUUUUUAAUUCGUUUACGUUCUGUAUAGGCUAUGUAGGUUUUAUUGUCAAUUUCGCAAAGCGCUUAAAGCUAUAUUAAUACGAGUACAAGAAUUUCUUGGUCUUGCUUUAAAGCUUGCCUAAAGUAAUAUUUUAACUUUUCUUCAUUUGUUUUUCAUGUUAUAAAGAAAGUUAAAUAAAAUGUUAAAAUAUUAUUUUUUCUAUAAAUAUUAUUUUUAUAUAUCUUUUUAAAAACCAAAAUUAAUAAAAUGAGAUCAAUAAAAAAAUAAACUAAUUAAAUAUAGCCAUGUAAUAUAGCCAUGUGAAAAAUAAUAAUAUCAAAAUCAUUAAAAAAUAAAAUACUUAUUUGUUCCACUCUAAUACAAUUGAUUUUUUAAAUAUUAUUUUUCAUUAGAAUAUAUAUAAUAAAAAAAACUAUAUUUAUAUUAUUUAAAAUAUUAUUUUAUCAACUUACUUUUUUUAAAAUACAUCUUCCAAUAAAGAUGCUAUAAUAUACAUAACUUCUUCAUGUCAACGUGAAUUAUCGUGCCUCAUGGCUGACACGACCAAAAGAUUGAUGUCUUCUCCCAAGUGCAGGAGUGUCGAAGUAAUAAAUAACCCGGCAAGACCGGGGUCGAACCACAGAGAGGUUAAUUGUAUAAAUUAUAAUUAAUAAAACAACAACAACAACAACAAUAACAACAAUAAUAGUAACAAUAAUAGUAAUAGUAAUAGUAAUAAUAAUAUUAAUAGUAAUAGUAAUAAUAAUAAUACUCAGUAAGUGGCGUUGUUAUACCUGAGAAUGAUCUAAAAGAUCGGGUCACAGGUUUCCAGCCUAUAUACUGAGUUUAUGAAAAGAUCAAAGAGAUAUAUUAUAUAAUAUAAACAGAUUUUCUGAUGCGAAUGAACAAGGCAAGACCAACAAUGUCAGGAUCCUUGAUCAAACACAGAGCAUACUUAACGUACAUAAAAUAUAACAAGAAUGUAAAUAAUAAUAAUAAUAAUAAUAAUAAUAAUAAUAAUAUUAGUAGUAGUAGUAGUAGUAGUAGUAGUACUAAUAAUAAUAAAGAAGAAGAGGAAGAAAUUGAUGAGAACUUUGAGAUGGAAGAUUAAUGUAAAGAUUAAACGAUGAUAAAAACAAAUGUCAAGGUUAGAGGAUCCACCAAUGGUAUUUCAAACAAGUAUAAUAUAAACUCUUAUUACUCAAUUUGGAAACCACACACGAAGGAGGUUCCAAUCGGAUGAUUUGUCAUUAAUAGCUCAUUAUAAAUUAUUAACAUGAUCAUAUUAAUUAUCUUAUUUACAUAACACCAAACUUUUAAAUAUUGUCAGGAAUUCAUGAUGUUAACUGAUGUUAACAACAAAUCAAGUUCCUUUCAUAGCUCAGGUGUAGGUAAUACCAUACGGUUGGGCUAUGAGAGUGCCAAGCAUUUGUUGUACCAAGUGUUAUACUACACAAAUCUAGAUUAACCAUUUAACAAGCAAGGUAUUAAGAAUUAGUAAGAUAAAAAGAUAAGACAUGUUAAUAUUAAACAUUAAGGUCCAUGUUGAGUUUACACCAUACUUGUUUUUACACCAUUAGUGUAACCUUUUCACCUUGACAUAAUAAACUUAGCUAAACAUAAUGAAGAGGAGAAACAUAAAUAAACAAAACAAGAACAUAAAUAAGAUACAAGUUAACUAAGGAAAGGAAAGGAAAUGAAAAGCAUAAACAAGAAAUUAAUGAAAGCAAAACUUAAGAAUUAAAAAAAAUUAUAAAGAGAGAAAUAAAGAGCAUGAACUUGAUCUGAACAACCCCUAAAUACAUGGCAAAUGCCUCAUUUUAUAGGCCAAAAUUCGGAAUUAUUGAUUUGAUGACUAAUUGUUGAGUGGGUGGCCAACUUUUGACUUUGUGAAAAUCCUUAUCUUCUUGUCUGAAUAAAACGAAAAUGCUAGCAUCAGAACUGGGUCCACUUGAAAACAUGAAAGUUGUAGGAAAUGGACUUAGCUUUCCAGGAAAAAAAAUAGAGGUGAUUUGGACUUCUAGAACUCCAGAUAUGGGCUAAACACUGAACAGUGUUCGGGCUGCAGGACAGAUUCGGACUUCUCCGUUGUUGCUUUAAUUUGGACUUGAAAACGGCCUUCUUAGAUCUUGAUGAAAACAUGAAAGUUGUAGGCCUAUGUCUUACCAAAUCUGUGUAAAACUUUGAGAUCAUUUGGACAUCUAGAACUCGAGAUAUGACCCAAUUACCGAACAGUGUUCUAGUUUGGACUGCACCAACAUCUCUUUUCUAAGUUUGGCCCUCUCUUUGUCCUUUCAAUUUCCAUACUUGAACUCAUCAAUCAAUCCUUUGAUUUAUGUGAUAGGCCUGCAUUUAAGAUGAACAUUUACCAUAUAUUAAAGCAUUUUAUAGUAUUAGACUUGUUAUUAUCAAACAUGCUUUAGUUAAGGAGUUAUUGAUACUUUAAGUGCAAAAUGAUGAUAUAAAAUCUUGAUAAAUAUGCACUUUUAAGUACUAAUCACACCCCCCAACCAGCUUAUUACUAGUCCCUAGUAAUCAAAGCGUUAAAAUAGAAAAACAAUUUGUAAAUUUCAUAAAGCAAGGCAUUCAUCAUUCAACUUCCAUUAAUCUAUCCAGAUAAACAAACUCUCAUUAAAUUCAUAGAUCUGCUCAAUACCUCUUAAACAAGAUAUUACUAAACCUUUCUUUUGUGCUCAAAAUAUCAACAUAUAGUUAUGGGGCUUUACUUGGAACAAAAACAAAUUUUUGCUCCAAUGUUUAAGGUUAACUUCCUUGGGUUAGGAUUAUUAUCUUUUUUUUUUUUUUUUUUAUAUACACAUAUAUCUUAAAACACAAUGCAUCUUUAACCCAUGUAACGAGUUUUCAGCUAAUGACUCCCAGACCAGUUGGUUUUAGGGCAUUAGGUGUUGAGACACCCCUACGAGCUUAGUAACUCGGGUUGCAGAUACUGAUAUGUAGAUAGUGCAAUGUUUGAUUCCCUUAAGCUUUUCUCCUCAACCCAUGUAACAAGCGUUGGGCCAAUAGCUCCCAAGUCAGUUGACUUUAGGGUAUUAAGUGUUAAAACACCCCUUCGGGCUUAAUUGCUUAGGUUAGGGAGGCUACGAAACCAAACUUAUCUACCUUUUUAUUAUCAUUAUUAUUAUAUAUUUUUUUGUUUUUUGUUUUUUUUUGUUUUUUUGCAAAUUAUAUACUAUCCAUUUCCCUUAGUUGUUACCUUUAACAAAAGAACAUAAAUAAUGUAAUAAUCCAAUGUGCAACCCACAAUCAUAUGUUAAAGUGUGUGUGUGAAAAUGAAGAUUUAAAAAUACUUGUUAAAUGAGCACAUGAGCAGAAUCAAGUGCUAACAAUACGAGAGUUUGUAAACCUGAAUAUUUCAAGAAGUAUUAUGAUAGACCUUGUUAAGAAUGUUUACUAAGAUGCGUCUCAAGAGUCACUUUAACAAAAGAACUCCUUUUACUCUGCCAUCCUAGUAACAACAGUUUGGCAAAUAGUUUAUGAAAUAGAAAACACAUUUUUUUUUAAUAUAUCAACUACUACCCUUUCCCCCCAUCCAAAAUGAGACAUUGUCCUCAAUGUUGUAAGGUAGAAAGAUAGAGUAUAGAAGACAUCACCUGAAAUAGCGAACACUGACAAACCUGAACAAAUAAAUAAAUAAAAACAAAACACAAUAAUAAAACCAAAAGACGCAAAUAUUUACAAACGCAGGCUCAAAUCCAAUCUAAUCUUUUUACGGCUUUCCUUAGUUGACCAAUUUAUGCGACUCAUGGAAGGAUUAAUUACAGGGAUGAAAGAUUGUAGUUGGUCAAUCAAUUGUUCAGCAGUAGCAGCAGAGAUUAUGAUUUGUCGUGCUGAAGAUGUUAGAAAUUCCUGUUCCAUAGCAUGAUCAAGAAAAGACAACAACUUAUCAUAAAAACCAUUAACAUUUAACAAACCUAUGGGUUUAUGGUGAAUGUGUAGUUGGGCCCAAGAGGAAAUAUGAAAGAUCUCUUCCAAUGUGCCCAGACCACCUGGUAAGGCAAUGAAGGCAUCAGCAUGGUUAAACAUUGCAUUCAGGCGAUCAGACAUUGUGGGGACCUGUAAUUCCUCUCCAAUUGUUUUUCCAAUGAUGUCCCCUUGUGCUAAAGCUUUGGGGACUACCCCCAAAACUUGACUAUCUCCUAAAAAUGCAGCUAUUGACACUCCCCCCAUUAACCCAAGGCUGCCUCCUCCAUACACUAAAUGAAUCUUUCGCUCAGCUAGUACCUGACCAAGAUGAUUUGCUGAUUCUAAAAACUCUUUUUCUUUCCCAGGACUGGAUCCACCGAAAACACAAAUAUUGGUUAUGUGAUUACUUGAGGAACCUGCCAUUUCUACACACUUCUGUAUUUGAUGAAUGUAUGGGUUGAGUAGAAAUGAAGGGAAGGAAAAGAAGAAUUUAUAGAUGAGAAAUUGAAAAUGCAAUCAUACCACCUAUAUAUAGGCCAGCCGUAGUCUCACUCUCUUUCUCUCUCUUUAUUUAUUUAUUUAUUUUGAAAAAGCAUGUGUAUGUACAGGUAGUUGUGAUUGUGGCUCAUAUUAUUCCUUGGUUUUACGUCCAAGAACGGCUUAAACGCUCUCUAUGGGUCGGGGAUAGGCUUCCCAUCUAGUUUUCUUAAAAACUGGCAAACAAGGUCUUUUUUAGUCAGAUUCCCAAGACUAAGUCGAGCAUGUUUUUUAUGGAAUUGUGGCCAUAAAUCAUGAAUUGCACGAUGCACAUCUCCACUAGGGUGUGUCUCAAGAGUCAAUAGAAGAUUAUCUAAAGACCCCUUACUCAGGCCAUCCUUAAUGAAUUGUAUUUUAUCUUCACGGUUUACAGAUACCAUUCCUAAAGAACGACAUGUCGCAUUACAAGUCCAUCUGGCACAUCGGUGACAGACUUGCAGUCGUUUUGCACGACGUUUCUUUGCAAAAGUGCUCUUACAUGUUCCAGGCAUGUAUGAAAUGAAAGAAUUGGAGGACUCACCUGAUAAUCGGACCUUUGCUUCAAUUAGCCAACGAAUAUCUUCAGGAAUUCCAUGGUUCAUUAACAACCUCAAUCUUUCACACCUAGCAUGAUAAAUUUUUGUAAUCGCAUUCUGAGGCAGAGCGGGAAAAUACUUUUUCAAUUUUUCAAAAGUGGUGUCCAUUUUCAACUGAGAAUUGGGGGAGAGAUUCAAAGAAAGCAGAAAGAGCAAAGAAUUGCACAAAUAUAUACACAGAUAUCAGUUAUCAUGGGAAACUGAAAGAACCGACUUAAGAGUCACGGAGUACCGUUAUCCGCCAUUUGACCGGGGUGAGAGACUAGCAAAACAAAAGUCACACAAAAACAAUGUGAGAAAAAGAAUCAAUCUUUAUAUACAGGAUCACCCAAUUCAAUAGAGUCAUUUUCAACUGAAAAAUUGUCAAAAUAAACUUUCAAACGAUGACCAUUUACCUUGAAAACAUUACCAUUCUUUGGAUUUUCGAUAUCACAGGCUCCAUAUGGAUACACAUGUUUCACAAUAAAAGGACCGCUCCAUCUUGAUCUUAGUUUUCCAGGAAAUAAAUGGAGUCGAGAAUUAUAAAGCAAGACUUUUUGACCAACAUUGAAUGUUUUUCUCAGUAUUUUCUUGUCAUGAAACUCUUUGAUUCUUGCUUUAUGAAUUCUUGAAUUGUCAUAUGCAUCAUUUCUUAUUUCCUCAAGCUCAUUUAUUUGCAAUUGUCGCAGCUGACUAGCAUCAUCAAUGUUUGAAUUGAAAGCUUUAAUAGCCCAAUAAGCUUUAUGUUCAAUUUCCACAGGCAAGUGACAAGGUUUUCCAUAUACUAGUCUAUAAGGUGACAUACCUAAUGAUGUUUUAUAUGCAGUUCGAUAAGCCCAAAGUGCAUCAUUAAGUCUUAAAGACCAGUCUUUCCGAUUAGGGUUCACCGUUUUCUCUAAGAUCUGUUUGAUCUCCCUAUUAGUAAGUUCUACCUGUCCACUCGUCUGAGGGUGAUAAGAGGUGAAAACUUUGUGUGUGAUUCCAUAUUUCUUCAUUAAAGACUCAAAUGGCUUGUUGCAGAAAUGUGUUCCACCAUCACUUAUCAUGGCUCGAGGGAUUCCAAAUCGACUUAAAAUGUUUUCUUUCAAAAACUUUAUCACUGUUUUGUGAUCAUUGGUUCGACUUGGAAUUGCCUCUAUCCAUUUUGAAACAUAAUCUACUACGACCAAUAUAUACAAGAAACCAAAUGAUGGAGGAAAUGGACCCAUAAAAUCUAUACCCCAACAGUCAAAGAUCUCAAUGACAAGAAUAGGAUUUAAAGGCAUCAUGUGACGUUUUGAAAUAGAUCCCAACUUUUGACAAUUUUCACAAGUCUUGCAGAAUGCAUGUGAGUCUUUGAACAUGGUGGGCCAGUAAAAUCCACUUUGUAAGAUUUUUACAGUUGUCUGUCUUGAUGAGAAAUGACUCAGAAUGACAAAAUUUAAUGACACUACUUACCUCAUUGUCAGGAAUGCAUCUUCGAAAUAUUUGAUCAGGACAAUAUUUGAAUAAAUAAGGGUCAUCCCAAUAAAAGUUCUUCACUUCGUUCAAGAACUUUCUUUUGUCUUGGGUACUCCAAUGAGCUGGCAAUUGUUAUGAAACAAGAAAAUUAACAAUAUUAGCAAACCAAGGCAUUGUAGAGACAGAAAAUAAAGAUUCAUCAGGAAAGUAGUCAUCGAUUGGUGUGAUGCAGAUCUCGAAUCGGUUGUCAAUCUUGACAAAUGAUCCGCGACAACAUUUUCGGUGCCUUUCUUGUCUUUGAUUGUGAUAUCAAAUUCUUGAAGUAACAAAAUCCACCACACCAAUCUAGCCUUAGAAUCUUUCUUAGAGAGAAGAUAUUUCAAUGCUGCAUGAUCACUAAAAACAACAACAGGUGAGCCAACAAGAUAAGAUCUGAACUUGUCACAUGCAAAUACUACUGCAAGUAAUUCUUUUUCAGUGGUAGUGUAAUUCAUUUGAGCACUAUUUAAAGUUUUACUUGCAUAGUAAAUCACAUAAGGUUUCUUAUCUUUUCUUUGUCCCAAGACAGCACCCACGACAUAAUCACUAGCGUCACACAUUAUUUCAAAAGGUAGUGACCAAUCAGGAGGUUGAAUGACAGGAGCAGAAGUAAGCAAGCUUUUAAGUUUAACAAAGGCUUUUUCACAUUGUUCAGUCCAUUCAAAAACUUUUUCCUUUGUUAGAAGGUUACACAAUGGUUUAGAUAUUACACUAAAAUCUUUGAUGAACCUUCUGUAAAAACCAGCAUGUCCUAAGAAUGAUCUAACAUUUUUAACAGAUUUUGGUGUUGGUAAGUUGGCAAUUAACUCGAUUUUAGAUUUGUCAACCUCAAUUCCUUUCGAUGAAACAAUGUGACCAAGUACAAUGCCGUUUGUUACCAUAAAGUGACAUUUUUCCCAAUUCAGUACAAGAUUCUUCUCUUCACACCUGUUCAAAACCUUUUCCAAGUUAGUUAAACAAUCAUCAAAUGAAUCACCAAAAACAGAAAAAUCAUCCAUAAAAAUCUCAAGAAAACGUUCAACCAUAUCACUGAAUAUGCUAAGCAUGCAUCUUUGAAAUGUGGCUGGUGCAUUACAUAACCCAAAAGGCAUUCUUCGAUAUGCAAAAGUACCAAAUGGACAUGUGAAAGUAGUCUUCUCUUGAUCUUCCAAUGCAAUUUCAAUUUGAUUGUAACCUGAAUAGCCAUCUAGGAAACAAUAAAAUUCAUGACCUGCAACUCUUUCUAGGAUUUGAUCUAUGAAAGGUAAAGGGAAAUGAUCUUUUCUAGUCAUUGAAUUAAGUUUUUUUGAAACAACAACAAUUUUUAAAGAAGUUUUUUCCAUCUCACAGAACCAACUCUUUCAAAAGACAAAUCACCACUUUCACUCAAAAACCAGGUGAAACAUUUUACCAAUGUAAGGAUAGGUAUCGAGACUUGCUUAAUACUUGCCCUCAUCAUGGUUUUGAAACAUGGAGAUUGGUUUCACAAUUUUAUGAAGGAUUAGCACCUAAAGAUAGGCAAAUGGUUGAAUUGAUGUGCAAUGGAACUUUUAAAGAUAAAGACCCUAAUGAAGCAAUGGAGUACCUAGACUUGCUAGCUGAAAAUGCGCAAAAUUGGGACACUACAGGCACUUAUGGGGCACCAAGUAAAACCCAACCUCAUACAUCUAGUGGAGGUAUAUAUAACCUUAGGGAAGAUCAUGACCUCCAAGCCAAGUUUACAUCUUUAGCUAGAAAAGUCGAGGCACUAGAAUUGAAAAAGAGUGGUGAAUUAAAAUCUAUUCAAGACAUUGUGUGUCAAAUCUGUGAAACAAAUGAACAUGCAACCAAUGAUUGUCCAACUUUGCCUUCUUUCAAGGAAUGCCUCCAUGAACAAGCCCAUGCUUUAAACAGUUUCCAAAGGCCCAAUCAUAACCCAUACUCGCAAACAUACAACCCUGGUUGGAGAAAUCACCCGAAUUUCAGUUGGAAGAGUGAUAACAACAAUGCACAAACUUCACAACCACCAUUUCAAGCACACCAUAAUUUCCAAAAUUCUCAUGGAUAUGCACCUCCUUAUGUUCCACCUCCUAGAAGAAAUCUUGAGGAAACAUUGCAUGCAUUCAUUGAAAAGCAAGAGACAAUCAACACUCAACUUGCUCAAAGCAUGACAAAUUUUAAAGAUGCUCUUGCAAAAUUCACAUCUGCUCUCAGUUUUCAAGAGAAAGGUAAAUUUCCAUCUCAACCACAGCAAAAUCCAAAGGGGCAAUACAAUGCAAAUGCAAGUAGUUCCGGAAACCAACACAUGGAUCAAGUCAAAUCAGUCAUCACUCUUCGCAGUGGUAAGGUUAUUGAAAAACCCACUCUUGAACCUUGUGAGAAACAUGAUGAGUCAAUCUCUGAGGGUAAGGAAGGGGUUGAAUCUAAACAUUGUAAAGAAAAGACUGAUUCUCCGCUAGCACUUCCAUUUCCUCAUGCCAUGAGCAAACAAAGGAAAGUCAAUCACAAUUCUGAAAUCCUUGAAACUUUCAAACAGGUAAGGAUCAAUAUACCUUUGUUGGAUGCUAUUAAACAGGUACCUUCCUAUGCUAAAUUUUUGAAAGAUCUAUGCACUGUGAAGAGAAAACUGAAUGUGAAAAAGAAAGCAUUUUUAGCCGAACAAGUAAGUGCUAUUCUUCAGAACAAUAAUGCUUUGAAAUAUAAAGACCCUGGUUGUCCUACAAUUUCUUGCUUUAUUGGAGAACAUAAAAUUGAAAGAGCUUUACUUGAUCUUGGAGCUAGUGUGAAUUUACUUUCAUAUUCGGUUUUUCAAAGUCUCAAUCUAGGUGAGUUAAAACAAACUUCUGUAACUCUUUUACUUGCUAAUAGAUCUGUAAAAGUGCCUAGAGGGAUAAUUGAGGAUGUGUUAGUACAAGUUGAUAAAUUCAUUUACCCUGUAGAUUUUAUUGUCUUGGAUACACAACCUGUUGAAGCAUGUAAUUCAAUUCCUGUUAUUUUAGGAUGUCCAUUUCUUGCAACUUCUAAUGCAUUGAUUAAUUGUAGGAAUGGACUGAUGAAGCUAUCAUUUGGAAACAUGACAUUGGAGAUGAAUAUUUUCAACAUUUGCAAGCAACCUGGAGAUGAUAAUGAUUUACAGGAAGUGGACUUUAUUGAAAAAUUAGUUCAUGAUCAAUUUCAAACCACUUCUAGUGAAACUCAGAUUGAUGAACCUGACGAGUUGCAAAUGGUUUAUUUUCAGGAAGAAGCAAAGACAUGUAAUUGGAGACCACAAAUUGAAGAAUUGCCACCACAAUCAAUUGAGUCCAUACCUUCAAGUGUUCAACCACCAAAACCUGAUUUGAAGCCAUUACCAUUCAAUCUCAAAUACUCAUUUUUGGGAGAAAAUGAAACUUUUCCGGUAAUAAUCUCUUCCAAACUUAAUGCACAUCAAGAAGGUAAGUUAUUACAGACUCUGAAAAUGCACAAAAAUGCAUUAGGAUGGACCAUAGCUGACAUAAAAGGAAUUAGUCCUUUGAUUUGCACACACAGGAUUUAUUUGGAGGAAAAUGCUAAACCAUCUAGAGAAAUGCAACGAAGACUUAAUCCUAAUAUGAAAGAAGUAGUGAAAAAUGAAGUCAUUAAGCUUCUAGAUAAUGGAAUCAUUUAUCCUAUUUCUGACAGCAAAUGGGUAAGUCCUACCCAAGUUGUACCCAAAAAGUCUGGAGUCACUGUGAUAACAAAUGAGAAAAAUGAGUUAAUUCCAACUAGGACUAUUACUGGUUGGCGCAUGUGCAUUCAAAAACUUGACACGACCAAAAGAUUGAUGUCUUCUCCCAAGUGCAGGAGUGUCGAAGUAAUAAAUAACCCGGCAAGACCGGGGUCGAACCACAGAGAGGUUAAUUGUAUAAAUUAUAAUUAAUAAAACAACAACAACAACAACAACAAUAACAACAAUAAUAGUAACAAUAAUAGUAAUAGUAAUAAUAAUAUUAAUAGUAAUAGUAAUAAUAAUAAUACUCAGUACGUGGCGUUGUUAUACCUGAGAAUGAUCUAAAAGAUCGGGUCACAGGUUUCCAGCCUAUAUACUGAGUUUAUGAAAAGAUCAAAGAGAUAUAUUAUAUAAUAUAAACAGAUUUUCUGAUGCGAAUGAACAAGGCAAGACCAACAAUGUCAAGAUCCUUGAUCAAACACAGAGCAUACUUAACGUACAUAAAAUAUAACAAGAAUGUAAAUAAUAAUAAUAAUAAUAAUAAUAAUAAUAAUAAUAAUAAUAAUAAUAAUAUUAUUAUUAUUAUUAUUAUUAUUAGUAGUAGUAGUAGUAGUACUAAUAAUAAUAAAGAAGAAGAGGAAGAAAUUGAUGAGAACUUUGAGAUGGAAGAUUAAUGUAAAGAUUAAACGAUGAUAAAAACAAAUGUCAAGGUUAGAGGAUCCACCAAUGGUAUUUCAAACAAGUAUAGUAUAAACUCUUAUUACUCAAUUUGGAAACCACACACGAAGGAGGUUCCAAUCGGAUGAUUUGUCAUUAAUAGCUCAUUAUAAAUUAUUAACAUGAUCAUAUUAAUUAUCUUAUUUACAUAACACCAAACUUUUAAAUAUUGUCAGGAAUUCAUGAUGUUAACUGAUGUUAACAACAAAUCAAGUUCCUUUCAUAGCUCAGGUGUAGGUAAUACCAUACGGUUGGGCUAUGAGAGUGCCAAGCAUUUGUUGUACCAAGUGUUAUACUACACAAAUCUAGAUUAACCAUUUAACAAGCAAGGUAUUAAGAAUUAGUAAGAUAAAAAGAUAAGACAUGUUAAUAUUAAACAUUAAGGUCCAUGUUGAGUUUACACCAUACUUGUUUUUACACCAUUAGUGUAACCUUUUCACCUUGACAUAAUAAACUUAGCUAAACAUAAUGAAGAGGAGAAACAUAAAUAAACAAAACAAGAACAUAAAUAAGAUACAAGUUAACUAAGGAAAGGAAAGGAAAUGAAAAGCAUAAACAAGAAAUUAAUGAAAGCAAAACUUAAGAAUUAAAAAAAAUUAUAAAGAGAGAAAUAAAGAGCAUGAACUUGAUCUGAACAACCCCUAAAUACAUGGCAAAUGCCUCCUUUUAUAGGCCAAAAUUCAGAAUUAUUGAUUUGAUGACUAAUUGUUGAGUGGGUGGCCAACUUUUGACUUUGUGAAAAUCCUUAUCUUCUUGUCUGAAUAAAACGAAAAUGCUAGCAUCAGAACUGGGUCCACUUGAAAACAUGAAAGUUGUAGGAAAUGGACUCAGCUUUCCAGGAAAAAAAAUGGAGGUGAUUUGGACUUCUAGAACUCCAGAUAUGGGCUAAACACUGAACAGUGUUCGGGCUGCAGGACAGAUUCGGACUUCUCCGUUGUUGCUUUAAUUUGGACUUGAAAACGGCCUUCUUAGAUCUUGAUGAAAACAUGAAAGUUGUAGGCCUAUGUCUUACCAAAUCGGUGUAAACAUUUAAGAUCAUUUGGACAUCUAGAACUCGAGAUAUGACCCAAUUACCGAACAGUGUUCCAGUUUGGACUGCACCAACAUCUCUUUUCUAAGUUUGGCCCUCUCUUUGUCCUUUCAAUUUCCAUACUUGAACUCAUCAAUCAAUCCUUUGAUUUAUGUGAUAGGCCUGCAUUUAAGAUGAACAUUUACCAUAUAUUAAAGCAUUUUAUAGUAUUAGACUUGUUAUUAUCAAACAUGCUUUAGUUAAGGAGUUAUUGAUACUUUAAGUGCAAAAUGAUGAUAUAAAAUCUUGAUAAAUAUGCACUUUUAAGUACUAAUCAAUGGCCCAUGCUAGUGGAAAAAAAGAAAGGUAAAAUGUCAUUUCACUCAUGAUUCACGAGUUUUGACUGACCGACAAUUCGUGGCAAUUCUAUUCAACUUAUUCAACUUCCAUAUAUCGACGGGGCCCUAAUUUAACAUGGUGUAUUUUUAUAUACAUUAACUAAUACUCAUAUUUAAGUAUAACUUACCAUUAUUAUUACUUGAUGUACGGGCAGAACGCAAUAGUAGUGAAUGAGUUCCUUGGAAAUAGUUGGAGUCAUGUAUGGUUUCUUUAACUGACCCUUUGUAUAUUUGUGCCCUCGGCAUUCAAUAUCAACUGAUAUAUGAAGUUAUUGACGCGGGUCUUGUUCUUUUUCUAUAUACAAUAUUUUUGGUGUCUGCAAUUUGCAGAGCUUAAAUGCUUGUGGAACUGACAAGAUAUUAGACCCAACAUCCCUAAAUUUAACUAUAUCAUAUGUUUAGCUACGUGCUUAGCCCAAAUGCUUGUGGGUCUGGUAAGAUACUAGAUCCAACAUCCUCAUAGCUGAGCUCAAACACUUGUAGUUUUGGCAAGGUGUCGAACCCAAAUUCCUCAGGUUUACAUUAGGCCCAAGUGCACGUGGAUAUAACACAACACCAAAUCUUUGGAUAAUCAUUCUUCUACACCUUUGGGUGUAUAAAAAUCCUCUAAAAGCCAAUUAUAUUUUAAUCGACAUUAAUGUCAUGAUAAGGCUAUUCCUACCAACGUUAAAUGUUAUGUAUGAAAUAAGGUAUAAAAGUCUUCUAUAGCUCUACUGCUUGUUCAUCAACAUUAAUGGCGUGUAAGGGUUAUUCCCAUCAAUAUUAAUUUGUGUAAGAAGAUGUUUCUAUCAGCAUUAAUGUUGAAGUAAGAUACUUUUUCCUUACUAAGAUAUUCAAGAGGAAAAUACUUUCAUCCUCUUAAACAAAAAGACUCAAAGUACAAGGACUAUAAAUACCCGCCGAACCACCCAGGUAAAAGGAUUCACGAUCGUUAUUCUCUUAUCAUACAUUUUAAAAGAAUUUAUUGCACCAAAACUAAGAGCGAAUGUUCUUGUUCUUAGAGUUUAAUGCUCUUCUCUUCACAACCAUUACUAUAAAGUCACUGAUUUAAGUAUUGGAGGGUCCCUAAAUCCGAUAAAAAAGACUAUUUUGCAGGAACUAAGACUUCUACCACCAAUCAUCUGCUCUUCUUGUCCCUAGGAAUGGAAUAUUGACGUGAACGUAUGAUCAUCCAUUUUCUUAAUAUUCAAACACUAUUACUAAACAUAUUGGAUCCCGGGAGAUCAUCAAUUGGUGUCAUUUAUGGGAAAGCAAUAAAAAAGUCAUCAACUACUUUUCUAGAGCUGGUUUUUGACGCCCCUAAUCGCUAUUAAUGACAGACAAUCAAGAAACCCCUAGGAUGAGACAUGUCAUAGACCUCCUUGUAACAGCUGAUACGUCUACUCUACCAUCCGCUUUAGAGUUUCAACAACUCAUUAACAAAGUGCAAGCUCUUAUCCAAUUCGUUUUGGCAUCCUAGGGACAACGUCAAAUCUCACCAUAUUAGCAAGCUCUAACACAUAAUGUAGCUUCUUCGUUACCAAUCUUUCAACCACAAGCUUUCCCCUCUGCUAGGAGACAACUAUCCUAACCAGAAAAGACAAGGCAAAAUAACAUGAAUAACUUUCCACUAGAAUGAUUCACUAGCUCCCUAGGGAUCAUUCUUACCGACAUGAAACUCUCCCAAUAAGCAAUCAAUCCAAAUGUAAUCCUUUUGGCCACUAUGAUAAAUAAAUUAACCAUCAAUCCCGUUGUUCCACGCUAGAAUCCUUUAGCUCCCAAGAGCCUGUCAGGAAAAAGUCUAGAAGAAGUAUGGUUGGUCGACACCUGUAAGAUGGGACUUAUAGUCCUUAUAAGAUAAAUAGAUCUUUUUUUGUCUAGACGGGUUUUACAUACCCAUAUCCCCAAGGAGUAUAUCUUUAUAAAGAAGACCUUAGACAAUUAUGAUGGUUUGGGAGCUCCUAGAGAGCAUGUCCAAAACAUGCGUAGCUACUGUGAGCUGGUCAUCCAAGGUGGUGACGCUUGUGCAAGAUCCUGCCUACGACUUUUAGAGGGUCAACUAGAGCAUAGUAUAACAAUAUAGAGCCAAGCUCUACAACGAGUUUCAAUGAUAUAUAUGCAAAACUCGUGUCAAGGUUCAACACCAGCAUACCUGCCAAAAGAAGCUCCACUGAACUCUUUGGCGUUACUCAGAUAAGAGGGGAGUCCACUUGAGCAUAUUUGAAAAGGUUCAAUGAAGAGAUGCUCCAAAUGGAAGAAUUGAUUGAGUUAAUGACCUUAGAAGCUUUGAUAAAUAAGGUAAGAGAAUGUUCCACGUGGAAGGGCUUGUACGCCCUGCCAGACAUAAGCUUUAUGAAAGUAAAACAGGCUAUGAAAAAUCACAUCCGGGUAGAGAAAACUAAUAUAUUGUGACAUGGACCUCCUUGUUUCUAUCAAGAGGCUCAAGAUAAAAAGCCCUUCAAGCGGAGUUGUUUUCCUAGUAGAGAGAAUAAUUCAAAGAAAUGUCAUAAAAGACCAGUAAGGAAGCACGUGCAAUACCUUGAGAUAAGUAACAUUAUUCCCCUAAACAUCACCCUCACAAUAUUUUUCAUGGCUAUCAAAAUAAAAGACUGUUUAAUACCCACCUUUCAUAGCAUCGCCUCCACACAUGCUCUUCUAAUUUUGUUAAUCUGUUCCACAAGGAAAAAAGGCAUGAUACUGAAGAUUACUUCAUGUUGAGGAAUGAAAUCGAAAGACUGAUAUUUAAGGGAUAUUUGAAGCAGUUUGUUAAGGGGAAUGCCCACGUAAAUAAGGAUAAAGAAGAACUUAGCCAACCUAUCAAAGCUCUACUCAAGAUUAAUGUGAUUCUAAGAGGCACUUGGGUAGGGGAGACACCUUUAGUGGCAAGAGGAAAUAUAAGAAAUAGAUCCUUACAAUGGCUUGCCAACAAAGCCCAUAACACGAGCCCAUUGUUUUCAUUCUAGAAAAUGGAGAAGGGGUGACUUAUCCCCAUAAAGACACAAUGGUUAUUUCCAUGGUUUUGGCUAACCAUAGAGUCCAUAUGAUAUUGGUGAAUUAUGAUAGCUCUGUCAACAUCCUUUCCAUAGAUGUAAUAUCCUAUAUAGGGAUAGAUCCCUCAAAGAUGACUCCUGUGAAAACCCUAUUGAUUGGAACUAAAGGAUCAAGAGUACCCAUAAAAGGGUGCCUUAGAGAUCUUUGCCAUGAUUAACAUGUACUCAAGGUGCCUCACCCUUCAACAAACCUUUAUGGUGAUAAACAUGAUUUUAGCCUACAAUACCAUAAUAGGAAGGCUUUUUUUGCACCAAAUCAAUGCAGUCAUAAGGCAUGCAAUACUCAGUCUUGAAAUUCACCACUUAUCAUUAUUUAUUAUGUCAAUUGAUGAAUAUAUUGAAUACAAAUAUCCAUCUAAACAUAUUUAUUCAACAAAAUUAAAUAUUUAUACAAGUAAUUAUUGAAUAUUAAAAAUCAUAUCCUACAAUGAAAUAAAAAUUAUUGAUGUAUGUUCGAUAUAAAUUUUUAAUUACUCCUUUUGAAAGCAAUGUCAUAAAUUGUAUAAUUUGAUUUCAUUAGUUUUAUGAAAAGACUGACUUGAUUGGAAAUUAAUAAAGUUAUAAAUGAUUCAUAAUUUGAACCUUAUAUAAUUAUAUAUUUUUAAAUAAUUUAAAGAACUUUGAUGUAACUUGAUCUACUAUUAGAGAUAAUAAUUACCUACUUUUGUUUGCUUUUACAUCUUAAAGAAAAUCGAUUUAAUAAAAAAUAAUUAAUAGUAUGUAUAUUGUAAUAAAUUGUGAUUCAAAGUUUUCAUUUUACCUACUAAUAUUUUACCAUCUAUUUAGAAAGUUAAAACAUAAAUGAUCACUUUUUACGACAUGUGCACAUAAGAAAGAAAAGAAUAGGUACAGAGUUUGAAGGAAGAGAAAAUAUAAAAAAAAAUAUAAAAUAAAUUAUGUGAGAGUUGUCUCGACAUGAACCAAUCAACUUAGUUAGUCCAAAGAUAACUUGCUUGUCCGAUAAAAAAAAGUCCUAGGAUCAAAUUAAAAAAUGAAAUUGAUAAAAAAAAAUCUCAUAACCCAACUCCUUGCCUAACUUAGGUUUAAAAUUAAACUGUGUAAGAGUUGUCUCGAUGAGACCCAAUCGACUUAGCCUAUCAAAAAACAACCAACUAACCAAUAAAAAAAAUAUGGGGAUGAAUUUGAGAAAAAAAAGGAUGAAAUUUAUAAAAAAAAAUAUUUCGACCCGACUCUUUACCUAGCUUAAAUUUAAAAUUAAACUGUAUUGAAGUUGCCUCAAUAUGAUCUAGUUAACUUUGCUAGUCCAAAGAUACCCUGAAUGAUUAUUAAAUUUUUUUUUUAUCAAUGAAAUCAAAAAUAAAAAAGGAUGCAAUUGAAAGAAAAAAUAGGAGAAAUGAAAAAAAAAAGCUGAAUUGAAAAAAAAGGGGGAGUAGCUUCACCCAAAAAGCAGUCAAAUUUUUAGUAGAGAACGGUAGGUAAUAUAUUGACAUAACUUUUAAUUGGAAAGAGUUUAUUAUAACUUAAUCCUUGUGAUUUAGCAAAAUUAAUUAAUUAGUUAUGAUAGUUUCAAAAACUACAUGAAUAUUAAUCCACGUAAGGUCAAAUCCGUUCGUAACUUAAUUCCUCUAUAUAUUAAGUUAGUAAGAUGCUUAGUUGUCGAUCACUAAUUUAGUAAUUAUAAUUUGUUCCUAACAGCCUCUGUUUUCUAGCAAGUUUCCCAAUUUUAUCCAUGGCAUUAAAGAAUUAGAGACUUCUUCACGUUUUGUUUCUCAAAGUCCAAAUAUUUCACCAUAAAAUCACCCAUCAUCAUUCACCACGACCAUAAGGCAAUAUCCUCCACCACAGAAGUAUAUUUAUGAAAAACAUUAGUGGCCCAGAAUAAUAUUUUCAUUAAAAAAAGGUCCCAAAUAAUAUAAAACCAUGAUUAAAAAGAGAGGAAAUAAUAAAUGGCUACAAACAAGAAUUAAAUAUCAAAUAUGUGGGUUUUAUGUUGUUCUCUUUAUUGAUAAUGAAGAGAAAGUUUAGGCUUCUGUUAAAGAAGUAGUUAGGAUUUGCAUUCAGUUUAAUAAGUCCUAGUCCAUAGGAUUGUUAGUUUAUAUUUUGCAUGAUUUUCUACGUGAAUAUCUCCUCUGCUGAGAUUAUGUAAGGCUGUAUAAAGCCAACCUUCUUCUUUCAAUAAAAUUAUCGAUUUUGAUCCUGCAUUAUUGUCACUUUCUAUAACAUUGUGGUAUCAGAGCCUUUCUACUUAAAUCAAAGCAGCAGUCUUUGAGUCUCCUUUGCAGCAGCAAAGAAAUAUGACACCGGAAGGAAAUUUUGUACAGCCAACCAUUCCUCGUUUUGAUGGCCAUUAUGACCACUGGAGCAUGUUGAUGAAGAAUUUCUUGCGCUCUAAGGAAUAUUGGGGGUUGAUAGAAAAUGGCUAUGUUGAGACUGAAAGUGGCAUAAAGCAGAUAAAAAUGCAACGAAAGAGGAUUGAUGAGUUAAAGCUGAAAGACAUGAAGGUGAAAAAUUAUCUUUUUGAAGCUAUAGAUCGGACGAUAUUGGAAACCAUCCUUGUAAAGGAUACUUCCAAACAAAUCUGGGAAUCAAUGAAAAAGAAGUAUGAAGGAAAUGCUAGAGUCAAAAGAUCACAUCUGCAAGCUCUCCGCAGAGAGUUUGAAACCUUAGAGAUGAAAGCUGGUGAAGGAGUCUCUGAGUAUUUCUCAAGAGUGCUGACAGUUGCUAACAAAAUGAGAACAUAUAGAGAGCGAAUGACUGAUGUUACAGUGGUGGAGAAAAUUCUCAGAUCAUUGAGUGAAAAGUUUAAUUAUAUUGUCUGUUCAAUUGAAGAAUCCAAAGAUAUUGAUUAACUCUCAAUUGAUGAACUCCAGAGUUCCUUGAUUGUCCAUGAGCAGAAAUUCCAGUGUCACACAGGAGAAGAACAAGCACUCAAGAUCACCAAUUCUGAAGAUAGAUUUAAUGCCAAAAGACGAGGGCGAGGUGCUACAUACAGAGGCAGAGGCAGAGGCAGAGGGAGAAGCAGUCAGUUCUACAACAACAAAGCAACAAUGGAGUGUUUUAAGUGCCAUAUGCUUGGACACUUUCAAUAUGAGUGUCCAAGCUGGGAUAAAGAAGCUAAUUACGCUGAACUAGGAGAAGAAGAAGAAAUGCUACUCAUGUCAUAUGUGGAUAUGAAUCAUGCUCGAAGGGAAGAUGUCUGGUUUUUACACUCUAGGUGCAGUAACCACAUGUUUGGUGACAAGAGCCUAUUCCAUGUGAUAAAUGAGAACUUCAGACAGAAGGUGAAGCUGGGAAAUAACACAAGAAUGGAUGUGUUGGGAAAAGGCAACGUGAAAUUAAAAGUGAAUGGUCUUACACAUGUUGUUAGUGACGUAUUCUUUGUCCCUGAUUUGAAGACUAAUCUUCUCAGCAUUGGUCAACUUCAAGAUAAAGGGUUGACAAUCCUCAUUCAACAUGGAUAUAUGAACAUCUAUCAUCCGGAGAAAAGGCUUAUUAUACAUACUGAAAUGACAACAAAUAGGAUGUUUGUGCUGUUAACAAAUUCACUACAUCAGAAACCAGCCUGCCUCUAUAACUCAACACCAGAUUUAGCACAUUUGUGGCACUGUCGAUAUGGACAUUUGAGCUACAAAGGAUUGAGGACUCUUCAAGCAAAGAACAUGGUGCAUGGGAUACCUCAGUUCAAGAUUCCAUCAACAGUAUGCGCUACCUGCAUGAUUGGGAAGCAGCACAGAGAUCCCAUUCCAAAGCACAACAAUUGGAGAGCCACAGAGAAGCUUCAGCUCAUCCAUGCAGAUCUCUGCGGACCGAUAUCUCCUAUUUCUAACAACAAAAAGAGGUACAUUAUAUGCUUUAUUGAUGACUUUACUAGAAAAGCAUGGACUUAUUUCUUAGUAGAGAAAUCUGAAGCAUUACAUAUGUUCAAACGUUUUAAGAAUUAUGUUGAAAAAGAAAUAGGGGGCUAUAUAAAAUGCUUAAGAACAGACCGAGGAUGGGAAUUCACAUCCCUUGAAUUCAAUGAGUAUUGCAUUGAGCAUGGUAUCAAGCGGCAGUUGACAGCAGCAUAUACUUCACAGCAGAAUGGAGUAGCUGAAAGAAAAAACAGAACAACAAUGAAUAUGGUUCGCUGCAUGCUAACUGAAAGGAGAAUUCCCAAGAAUCUCUGGCCAGAGGCAGUAAAUUGGACAAUAUAUGUUCUCAAUCGAAGUCCUACUUUGGCAGUUCAAAAUCACACAUCUGAAGAAGCUUGGAGUGGCAUCAAACCUUCAGUUGAACACUUCAGGAUCUUUGGAUGCAUGGCUCAUGUACAUAUUCCUAAUGUACGAAGGACAAAGCUCGAUGCCAAAAGCAUUCCUUGUGUGCUAUUGGGACUCAGUGAAGAAUCUAAGGCUUACAGACUUUAUGAUCCAAUUGAGAAGAAGAUUGUAAUCAGCAGGGAUGUAGUAUUUGAAGAAGAAAAAUCUUGGGACUGGGACCAAAGCUAUAAUGAACAAUUGGUGGCUGAUCUAAGAGUGUGGAGAUGAAGGUGAUACUGGAACAUCCAUGAAUGAGGAAGACAUUCCUGAAGAACUAGAACAUGGAGCAGAUACAAAUGAAGACUUAACUGCUAGUUUUCAGCCUGGUGAGAAUAAGGGAGAAUCAUCAAGUUUUCAUGAAAAUCUUCUUGGCAGUCCUCAAUCUAGUCCUCAACCUGGUGAGAAUAGCAGGGCAUCGCCAGGUUAUUAUGGUGGCAGUUCUCAACAUGGUGAGAACAUGGGAGAAUCAUCAGUUUUUCAUGAAAGAAGAGUUAGAGGACCUCCAAGGUGGAUAAGAGAUUAUGUAACUGGGGAACUUUCAGAGGAAGAAGAUGCAAAUGUUAACUUGAUUUUAUUUACUUCAACAGAUCCAGUACAGUUUGAAGACGCAGUAAAAUAUGAACAUUGGAGGACAACAAUGAAUAUUGAAAUCAAGGCCAUAGAAAGGAACUACACCUGGGAACUUACUGAUCUGCCAGCUGGUGCAAAGAAAAUUGGAGUAAAAUGGGUUUAUAAGACCAAACUAAAAGAGGAUGGAGAAGUAGACAAGUUCAAGGCACGAUUGGUGGCCAAAAGGUAUGUGCAGCAACAAGGGAUAGACUAUACAGAAGUAUUUGCGCCGGUUGCAAGAAUGGAUACGGUGAGAAUGAUUGUGGCCCUAGCAGCUCACAAAGGAUGAAUAUUAUAUCAGCUUGAUGUCAAAUCUGCUUUCCUGCAUGGAGAACUUAAUGAAGAAGUCUACGUAGAACAGCCGAAAGGUUAUGAGAAAAAACAGAAUCCACAGCAGGUAUACAAACUGAAAAAAGCUCUUUAUGGACUGAAACAAGCUCCAAGAGCUUGGUUCAGCCGUAUUGAAGCACAUUUUAUAAAUGAAGGGUUUGAGAAGUGUUAUAGUGAGCAUACUUUGUUCAUUAAAACUGACAGGGAAGGUAAUAUUCUUAUUGUCAGUUUAUAUGUAGAUGAUUUAAUAUUUACUGGCAAUAAUGAAUUGAUGUUUGCUGAGUUUAAGACAUCCAUGUUGAGGGAGUUUGACAUGACUGAUCUAGGAAGAAUGCGUUUCUUUCUUGGCAUCGAAGUUCUACAGAGACCUGAAGGCAUUUACAUUUGCCAACGAAAAUAUGCUUCAGAGGUAUUAAAGAGAUUUAAGAUGGAAAACAACAACUCAGUCCAUAAUCCUAUUGCCCCAGGAUGUAAACUUUACAAUGAUGAGAAUGGAGCUUGCGUUGAUGAAACUUUAUUUAAACAAAUGGUGGGCUAUCUCAUGUAUUUAACAGCUACAAGACCAGAUUUAAUGUUUGCAGUUUGUUUAAUUAGCAGAUAUAUGGCUAAACCGACUAAGUUACACUUAUUGGCUGCCAAGAGAAUUCUGCGCUACUUAAGAGGAACUACUGAACUUGGGAUCUUCUACAAGAAGGGAGGGCGUGAAGGAUUAAUUGGAUACACUGACAGUGACUAUGCAGGUGAUCUAGAAGACAGGAAAAGCAUAUCUGGGUAUGCCUUCAUGAUGGGAUCUGGAGCUGUUGCCUGGUCUUCAAGAAAACAGCCUAUAGUCACACUUUCAACCACUGAAGCAAAGUUUGUGGCUGCAGCUGCUUGUGCUUCACAAGCUGUUUGGAUGCAAAGAAUACUUGAGAAACUAAGUCUGAAGGAAAGCAAGGGCACUACAAUUUUCUGUGAUAACAGUUCCACAAUUAAGUUGUCCAAAAACCCUGUGUUACAUGGUCGCAGCAAGCACAUUGAUGUGCGAUUCCAUUUUCUUCGUGAUCUUACACAAGAAGGAGCAGUUGAAUUAGUCUACUGUGGAACACAAGAACAGCUGGCAGAUAUAAUGACAAAACCUCUCCCAUUAGCUGCAUUCCAGAAGUUUAGAAAUCAGUUGGGAAUCUGUGAAAUUCCUGAAUAAACUAGUAACAGCUGAGAACUAGUUUAAGGGAGGGAAUGAAGAGAAAGUUUAGGCUUCUGUUAAGGAAGUAGUUAGGAUUUGCAUUCAGUUUAAUAAGUCCUAGUCCAUAGGAUUGUUAGUUUAUAUUUUGCAUGAUUUUCUACGUGAAUAUCUCCUCUGCUGAGAUUAUGUAAGGCUGUAUAAAGCCAACCUUCUUCUUUCAAUAAAAUUAUCGAUUCUGAUCCUGCAUUAUUGUCAUUUUCUAUAACAGAUAAAACAGUCGAGAGUUUUUCUAAUAAAGAAAUUGGCAGUCACUCGUUGGCUGUCUAGUGAUUUGUAUUGGAUAGUUUUUUUUCAUUAACGUUAAGAUUCAAGUUUUAAUAAUUAUAAUUUUCUUAAUUGUAAUAUUCUAGGAGAGAGCUUCUUAUUAUGUUAUUGAAAACCCAUUAAAACUCAAAUGCAUUAAAAAAACCCCUUGGAGUUGUGUUUGAUUAGCGUCCCAAUAUAAAAAAAUGAUAAAAAUAUAUUUAUUUUAAAAAAUAAAUAUAAAAUAUACAUUUAUGAGAGAGUUUUGAAGUGAAAUUUUAUACUACAAAACUAAGAUUAAUAAUUUAAUCUAAAUAUUACAACACUUUCGGCAUAAAGGAAAAUAAGAAUAAAAUAUAUGCCUCCUGACCUAAUUCCAAGACAACCUUUUAAAAUCAUAAGGAUUUUUCAUAUAUUGCUACAUAUACACAUAUAAGUGGAUGGAGAGAUCAUGAUUGACCAUAAACUGAAAGAAUGGGGGUUAAUAUGCCGAAUAUUGUAGUUUUCGGGCUAAAACUAUCAAAAUCUAAAACCUAUGGGAUCGUUUUUUACUUUUCAAAAUCUCCAUGCGUGAAAUUAAUGUUAAUGGCUUGAGGUCAAAGGUGGGAGAGCACGAAAUCAGUUGAUUGGAGAUAGAAAAUGAAAGGGCGAUCUCGACAUGAGAAUACAAAUAAUUGUGGAUUGAUGGAAGCCUCAGAAAGAAAAUAAGAACAUAAUAAUAAUGCGAAACCCUUAAAAAAUUACUUUUUAUGGGUUUGAUUCUCUCUCUCUCUCUCUCUCUCUCUCUAUAUAUAUAUAUAUAUAUAUAUAUAUAUAUAUAUAAACUGAGCAUUCCAUACCUAUUUUUUUCCCUAAAAAAAAUGAAUAUAACGUGCAUUAAUUCUCUGUUGUUUAUUAGGAAUUAUCCGGAUAAAAAUUGUGACUAGAAAACUUGAAAAUUCUCAGUACCAUAUUUGAGCAGUGAUCUCAACUAAUCAAUUUUAAUUGACCAGUAACUUCUAAUUAUUUGCAAGGACAUCGUUUGAUCUCAAGUUUCUGGAAGCUGGAGAUUAUCAAAGGUAAAAUUAAGAUAAAAACUAAUCAUUAUUAUUAUUGUUUUAUUUAAAUUAAUAUUAAAAUCAAUAAAUAUAAUAUAAUAUAAUAUAAUUAUCGUUAAAAAAUAGCUUGUUAUUUAUUAAAAAAAUAAAAAGGUAAUGCGUGGGUUUCAUUUUAUGAUAAACAAGGUUAAUGUUUUUAGUGUGAUUGCGGUUGCUUUUUAAAAUAUUUGAAUUUUUACUUAGUUUAUGAAAUAAGAUUUCAGCAACUUUUUUUGAUGUUAGGAGAUAUUUUUUUUGUGUAGCCCUACUUGUUCUUUCUCCUUCAAUUUUAUUUAAUCGCUUUCCUAUUCAUGUUUUUUUAUUUUAUUUUAUUAAAUAAAACAUUAGUUUUAAGAACAAAAUUAUUAAAUACAGUUGAGUCUAUAAUCCGUGUUUCAAGAUCAGAUAUCUAAAUUUAUGUCUAUCUCUUAACUUUUCAAUUUAGUCUUUAGUUAAAUAUCAUUUAGUUUUUACUUAGUUUUUUUAUAAAAUUAAAAAAAUUAUAAUAUGUGCAACCUUACAUAAUAUUAUUUUUCCUUUGAUUUUAUUCAAUUUCUUUCAUGUGUAUGUAUGUGUUUAUUUUUAUAAUUAUUUGGUUAAAUAAAAACAUUGACUUCUAAUAAAAAAAAGUUAUUGAACACAAUCAGAUACAUGACUCGUGUUGCAGGAUUAAAUAUUUUGAUUUACAUCAAUUUCUCAAUUUUUUUCAAUUUAAUCUUUAGUCAUCGUUAAUGAUUUUUCUUUUUGUAUUUUAUUGGCAUAGAUGAUUUUUAAAUUAUUUAAUUAUAUGCAUGCAUAAUCUUUUUUAUUGUCAAUUAAGAUUUGUUUAUGUCAAAAAACAUAUUGGAAAAGCUUGUAUAUUCAUUUUUUUUUGCAUUGAAAUUCUUUCUAUCUGACUUGCGGUGAAACACAGGUCAAAUAGCGAGAACUACGCUAAUGCUCCCUCAUUAUAUACUUUUAGUUUUUAAGAAACAAAAAAUUAAUUUCUUCCAAAGAGGUUAAAAAUUUCUAAAAAUUCCCUGCCAUUAUUUUUUUCUUAAAAAUUAAGUAUUAUAGAAUGUUUUUAAAAAAAGUUUGAGAAAUAAAUUUCAAAAUGAUGAAAAUAAAACAUGUUUCGAUCGAAAAUGAUUAGGUAGAAUCGAUGCCUUAAGGUAGAAUCGUAAGCAUUAAUGCUACUCAUGCAAGCUCCUUUUCAACCCAUAUAUUUGACACUAUACACACAUACACACACACACACACACACACUCACUCGUUACCAUUUUCAUGCAGACAGAGAUGAACAGGAGUAGCAAAACGAAGUGAAAGCAAGAAAAAUGAAAGUAAACAAAGUGAUUGCGAUUCUCUUAGUACUUCUUUUGAUAACAGAAUCACUCUCAGAAGCGAGAGCUCACCUCAAACACAAACAAAUUACCAGAGGCAAAGAAAAAGAAGAGAAGAGAAUUAGAAGUAGCAGCGGCAGUACUAGAAGCAGAAGCAGCGGAGGUAGUGGUAGACAGAGCAGAAGUAAUGGAAGAAGAUCAAGAGGAUCAUCCAACUGUGACCCAUUAUUCCAGUACCUAUUUAGAAGCUGUGGCCAAUGGCCUUUCCCAACUUCCAUCUCACCAGACAACCCAUUUCAGCCCUCACCAAGACCCUCCCCUCCUAGAAGGAGAACUCCACCAUUGCCUCCUCAAGUGCCUUCUCCUCCUCCACUUGUUCUAUCUCCAUCACCAGCUGUGCAACCUCCUUUAGUACCAUCACCACCUGCCGUAGUCCAUCACCACCACCAGUUGCUACAUCCCCACCACCCUCGUCACCGCCACCAUUGUCACCACCGCUCUCUUCCCCACCACCAGGUGUGCAACCUCCUUUAGUACCAUCACCACAACCAUUGCUACAUCCCCACCACCACCGUCACCACCGCUCUCUUCCCCACCACCACCACCUCCUCCACCUCCCCCUCCCCAUCCAUCACCACCACCCUCUCCUCCUCCAGUACCAUUAGAAUUCCCACUACCUUCCCUGGUCCCUUUACCAACACCACCUGAAGUGACACCAUCGCCAAUAAAUCCAUGGCUAUUACCUCCACCUGAAUUCACACCUCCACCACCACUAGUCCCAAUAUUUGAUCCACCAACAGACCAACCAGACAUACCACCAGAUGAUGAGUUUACACCAACACCACCAUUAGUUCCAAUAUUUGACCCACCAACAGAACCAGAUAUCCCAUCACCAGAUAAUGAGUUGACACCAUCCCCAAUAUUUUCCCCACCAAGUACUGAUCAACCAAAUUUUCCACCAGAUGAAUUUACACUAUCACCACCAUUUCCCUUAUUUAAUCCACCACCACAACAAGAUUUACCACCAGCUGAUGAGCUCACACCAACACCUUUUCUACCGAUAUUAUCACCACCACCACCGGGGGAAGAUUUUCCACCAUUUAUAGGAUCACCACCAACACCUUUAGUCCCUGUAUUUUCUCCACCAGUACCUGAUGACCAGCCUCCACAACUUCCACCACCUGUAGAAUCAACCACCCCAAAUGCAUCCGACCUUUAUUUUGCACCUUUAGUGCCUGAAAUACCAGAUAAUCCACGGGAGCAACUACCAUUUUCUUCUGUGCCACCAGCACCGGAUGCUGUAUAAAAUGAGCCAGUGCAAAUGCUCCCCACUUCAGAUUCCACAACCAUUGAUUGCUCCUCCAUUAAAGAACUGGAUGUUAGCAUUAAUCUUGGUGUAUGUCUUUCAGCUUGUUCUUUCAUUACUAUAUUUUUAAUCUUUUCGAGUGUAGAAUAUUGUAAUAAAUCAUGAAAGCACAAAGAUCUAUCGAUUGCAACGAUCUCUUUAAUGCAUAGGUUGUGCCUAAGGUUGACAGGGGAGCUAAUUAAAAGUUUCAAAAAGAUUUAGAGACCUCGUAUAUAGAGAUUUAAUAGCACCCCAAAGUUUAUGAUUCUCCUAUAUUGGUCCCUCUAUUCUUAAAACUAUAGAAUUGGGCCUUUCCAUCACCUUUUUUUUAUAUACUUUAGGCCAUGUAGAUCUAUCUACACAAAGUCAAAAGAGAUAUCUCAAGUACUUCACGAGUACCCAUCACUCUAGUUGGGUUGCCUCGAUCUCUUUGACUGGAUUGAAUAUUGUAGUUUUCAGUUUAGUUUAUGUGAAUUUUUUAUUAUUUUUUUUGAGAUUGUAGAUUUGUUAAACAAUCACAUUGCCAAGUAGCAUUCAUUUCUUUUUUGGUUUUUUUUUUUCUGGCAUCCUGCAAUGCUCAAGAACUUGCUGAAGAAUGGCUAAGGUCUCCAUGUUAAAUAAAAUGGUUAUCGUCUCUCAUACUUCAAAGAUUCUUCAUGUUCACUCGUUUGGUGCAUGCUAUAUUGCACUAGAACAUAGAUAAUCUCAAUUUUAUAUUCAAAUUAUUUUUUUAUAUCGAUUUUACCAUGCAACUUUUAAAAUUCCUUGAUUAAGGACUUUUUGUAUUUUAAAAGCUUUUUAUUUAAAUUGUACAUUUGUUUUUUUUUAAAUAAAGUUAUUUAAUGGGGAACUUCACAUUCUUCAUUUGGUGUUCUAUAGAAGUACUUGAUUAAGAAAUUUAAAUAAUUUAAAAUUAAAAUUGAUAUAUAUAUAUAAUAGUUUGAAUGCAAAAUUAAUAAUUUGAUGGUAUAUUUGAGUUUUUUCUUUUAAUGUAUUGGGUUCCAUCCUUUUAUAGUAUUCUGCCGGAGCCAGGGAAAAAGAAAGAAAGAGAGAGGAUAUCCUAGGAAAUACGAAGAUGGGCUUAAUUAAAAGGAUGCUCAAAAUUGAACUUUCGGUCUCAUGGCAACAUGGGUUUUAAGUCUCCUGGAAACGAAGAUAGGCUUAAUUAAAAGGAUGCUCAAAACUGAACUCUCUGUCUCAUGCCAACAUGGGCUUUAAGUCUCCUGGAAAUACGAAGAUGGGCUUAAAUUAAUCAAAACUGUCUUAUUUUUGGGUUAUCCUUAUAAUAUAAAAAACUAAUAACUUACCCUGUUUUUCAGUGGCGGAGCCACAGAGGGACAAAAGAGGCAAUUGCCCUCUUAACUUUUUUUUUAUUAAAAUAUUAAUAUAUUAGUUUAUGGAAUUAAUUGUUACUGCAGGGAAGGAAAAAGGAAAGUUGAUAUUGUUUAUAAUUGUUGACUUAUAUAUGAAUAUAAUAUAAUAUAAUAUAUAUACAUUGCUUAUUCCACGAAAGUUCUUCCUUUUUCCUUUUUGUUUCUAUAUUAAAUCAUUAGUACCGACUUAAAAAUAUAGAAUCCCUGACUAACAGAGUAUUUUUUGUUCUUGCUUAUUUUUUCAUGAGCUGCUGUGUUUGCUUUACUCUUUUCAUUAGCUGCUGUUCUCUGCUUCUCUGGUAUGUAAAUUUCUCAUAAAGUAUAAUUAAGUAAUUAAUUUUUUUUUGUUUUUUGUUUUAUAUUUUAGCUAAAUUUUCUUUAUUUUUUUAUUUCAUUGUUUAAUUUUAAUUUUAUUAUUUUAUAAUUAAUUAUUAAAAAUAUUAGGGUUUAUGAUAAUUUAGGGGUUUUGAUAUGAAUAUGUUCCAAUAUGUUCAAAAUAAAUAUUUAAAUCUACUAAUUUAAUCAAUUAAAUGUUUCUUUUCUUAUUAUAAAGGAAUAAAUUAAUAUUCAUGCAAAACCACUAUUAUUGACAUAUCUUGCAUUGGUAGAGUAGUUUAUUGAAAUUUAAUAUUUUCAUAUGACUUGUUUGUAAGUAAAAUAUCAAGUAGAAAGCAUGUUUUUCAAAAAUUGUUCCUCUUGCACAUACACGAGGCAUUGCUCCUCAAUUAAAUAUCUAGAAAUGAUUAAGUAUAAUUUAAUCAAUAUACUUAUUAUAUGCAUAUAGAUAUGAAUUGAAAUAGGUUUUGAUUUUGAUGAAUUGAUGUGUAUUUUGCUAUGAAUUUCAUAUAGAAGAUUUAGAAUUAUUGUGUAACUCAACUGGUUUUUAUUUAACAGUGAAUUAUUGUGUAGUUGUGUUAAUUAUUAUGUAGACACUAAUGAUGAUAAAAAAAUCUAGCAGGUUCAUAUUAAAUUAACAUGUCACUAGACAAGUAUUUCAAGCGUAAAUCCCUUGAGGAUAAAGAGUCAAUCAAAGCUUCAAGUCAUGUAACUCAAUCAAGUUCAAAGAAAAGUCAUAUUGAAAUCAACCCCGACACUCUCCUUGUUGACCCUGGUUUAAAAAGACCAAUUUAUGAAUACCAUAUAAAUGAUAGGGAUGCAAUCCGAAGAGCUUAUCUACAAAAAGGUCCUUGUCAACCUUCACACUGUGAUUUUCCUCAAAAACAAUUUGGAAAUAUAUCAACACUACGACGCUUUAAUCCGGCUUGGUUUGGUGCAUACCCAACAUGGUUAGAGUACAGUAUAGCCAAAGAUGCUGCAUUUUGCUUGUAUUGUUAUCUCUUCAAGUCAAAAGGGGGUGUUGAUUCGUUUGUGGGUGAAGGGUUUUCAAAUUGGAAAAAAAAGAGGAAAGAUUUGAUCUUCAUAUUGGAAAGUCUAAUAGUUGUCACAAUGCAGCUCGGAUAAAAUGUGAGAAUUUGAUGAAUGAAAAACAAAGUAUCAUAACUUUGUUAUCUGAGCAAACAGUAAAGAGUCAAAGUGAUUAUCGAACUCGAUUAAAUGCUUCAAUAGAGUGUGCUUGUUUUUUGUUGCACCAAGGACUUCCAUUUCGUGGCCAUGAUGAAUGUGAAUGUUCAAGCAACCAAGGAAAUUAUCUAGAGCUCUUGCAUUUUCUUUCCAGAAAUAAUGAAGCUAUUAAAAGAGUUACUUUCAGCGAAGCUCCUAGACAUAACAAAUUGACUUCUCCAGAUAUUUAAAAAGACAUUACUCAAGCUGCUGCAGAGGAGAUUACAAAUGUGAUUAUCAAAGAUCUAGGUGACUCAUUAUUUUCAAUUUUAAUUGAUGAGUCACGUGACAUAUCAAUCAAGGAACAAAUGGCUGUUGUUCUACGAUAUGUAGACAACAAUGGACAUAUAAUUGAACGUUUUCUUGGCAUUCAACAUGUGCGAGAUACAAUUGCUAAUUCACUCAAGGCAGCUAUUGAAGCUUUGUUUUCUAAACAUGGGCUAAGCAUAUCAAGAUUGCGUGGUCAGGGAUAUGAUGGAGCUAGUAACAUGCGAGGUGAAUUCAAUGGCUUGAAAGCACUUAUUCUAAAUAGCAAUCCAAGUGCAUAUUAUGUACAUUGUUUUGCUCACAGACUUCAAUUGACUCUUGUGGUUGUUACAAAGAAGCAUAAUGAAGUUGGAGAUGUCUUCAAUUUUAUUUCUAGCAUUAUAAACAUAGUUGGAGCAUCAUGUAAAAGGAUGGAGGUGAUUAGAGAAAAACAAUAUGCUAGAAUUAUUAAAGGACUUGAAAAUGGAGAAAUUUCUAGUGGACGAGGCUUGAAUCAAGAAACUUCUCUUAGAAGGUAUGGUGAUACUCGUUGGGGCUCCCACUAUGUUACAAUUAUUCAUUUACUUGCAAUGUUUUCAUCAGUUCUUGAUGUGCUUGAGAUUAUAAGGAAGGAUGAGAUGAACUUAGAACAGAGAACAUAAGCAGUCAUUUUAACAGAUAUUAUGGAAUCAUUUAAUUUUGUAUUCAUGCUUCAUUGUUUGAGAAGGAUACUAGCAGUUACUAAUGAGUUCUCACAAGCAUUACAAAGAAAAGAUCAAGACAUAGAAAAUGCUAUGAGUUUAUUGAACACAUCAAAGGAACGAUUCAAAAUGAUGAGAGAGAAUGAUUGGGAAUCUUUACUGGAAGAAGUGUCAUCUUUUUGCAUCAAACAUGAUAUUAAUAUUCUAAACAUGGAUGAUGAGUACAAGCUUCGUGGACGUUCAAGGCGAAAAUCUCAAGGGAUUACAAACCUACACCAUUUCCGUUAUGAAUUAUUUAACAAUAUCAUUGACAUGCAACUUACUGAGUUGGAUGAUCGUUUUACUGAGACGAGUACAGAGUUACUUCUUUGUGUGGCAUGUUUAAACCCAAGUGACUCUUUCUCUGCUUUCAACAAAGAAAAACUUCUUCGCCUUGCUCUUUUUUAUCCUAGUGAAUUUUCUAUAGUGGACCUUAUGGUACUUGGUGACCAACUGGAUACGUAUAUUAUUGAUCUACGUGGUGAUGAUGAGUUCUCUGAUAUUAAAGGUAUUGCUAGUCUUGCAGAGAAAAUUGUAAAAACAAAGAAGAAUUUGAUAUUUCCAUUAGUAUAUAUGCUUAUCAAAUUGUCAUUACUUCUACCAGUUGCAACUGCUACAGUGGAGAGAGUUUUUUCUGCUAUGCAUAUUGUCAAGAGUAGAUUGUGAAAUAGGAUGGGAGAUAAGUGGAUGAAUGAUAGUUUGGUUGUAUACAUUGAGAAAGAUAUCUUCGAUAAGAUUGAUAAUGAAGUUAUUAUGAAGCGGUUUCAAAAUAUAAAAACUCGAAAAGAACAAUUAUAAUGUAAGUUUUUUCAGUUUAAAAGUAUUUUUAAAUUAAUUUUACUUGAUAUGAAUUAGUAUAUAUGUUUCGAAUUGAUUUCUAAUGUAUAUCUAUAUAAUAUAUUAUUUGUUAAUAAUUUGUCACCUCAUUAAAAAAACUCUGGCUCCGCCACUGCUGUUUUUGUAUGGUAAAUUUCUGUGAGCACCGGCAUAAUAACCCUGGAAAUUUAAUUAAAAUAUAUACAAGCCGAUCCGGAUAUCCCGAUUAAAAAAAAAACACUGAACUCUUUCAGAAUUCUCGGCUUGACUUGCUAGUGGUCUCAUGAAAGGGCAAUGGCUGAUACUAGAUGCUCAUCCAAUUAAUGUGUUACGGCAAAGUCACUAACUUCACAUUAGAAAACAAGAAAGCCACGUAUUUCCGAUCCCUGCCCACUCUCUUAUCUAGUUAUUUAGGACGUCUAUCUAGGUUUACAGCUUUUUUGAGUCAAUAUAAAAAAACAAAAAGAUAUAAUUAGGAUAAAAAAAUUAGUUGAAAUAUUUUUAUUUUUUUUUAAGAAUCAUAAAUUUUUUAAUUUUUUUAAAAAAUAAUUAAUAAAAUAUCAUUAAUUACUUUUGUAAAAAUUUUUAUAGAUGAACAAGCUCUAAUAACUAUAUCAGGGCUAUGUCUUGUUAGGCUGUGAUUGUUUACUUGGAGUUUUUGUGUUUGUGAUGUAAAAAAUGUAGUGAGGUAUUUGGUAACACACUAAACUGUGUUUUUUUUAUUGUGGAGCCCACUUAAAAAUUGAGUUUGAAACGCAGUUUUUUAGAAGCAGUAUUUACAUGUAUUUAUAAUUGAGUUUCAUAAAACUGUGUUUAUUUUUGCGUUUCAAAAGCACUUUUGAAAAAAUUUAAUUUUUUUUACUCCAAAUUAAUAAUUUUUUGUGUUUUCAUAUCAUUUUAAUGCGCUGAUAUCAAAAAUAAUUUUUAAAAAAUAAAAAAAUAUAUUUUGAUGCAUUUCCAAGUAAAAAGUACUUUGAAAAGUAACCGUAACCACACAACUACCAAACAUUUUAUACUUGUUUUUUGCUGUACAUAACCCUCAACCACAAUUUUUAUCAAAAACAUAUCUAAAUCCAACUAACCACACCUAACCAUAUUUUUUUAAAACUUAAUUUUUUUAAAUUACAGACACAAAAACUACCUAAAAAAACAAACACACUUAAAUAAUAACCGUUCAAUGUUGAGAUGAUGCCUUGCAUCACUCGUUUGGUGAUGCUAUCAUAGUUAUGGGCAAGUUAGAGAAAAAUGUUAGGCACGACAAAUUAGCUCCACGUGUCAGGCACCUGCGUUGCUUGUACCCUCGGAAUUCUUAUAUGAAUGUCAAUUUCGUGGAAGAAAAAAUGCACGAACCCAAUUUGUGAUGGGCUGACAUGUGCCACAAAAUAUCUAGAUGUGAAUGAGUUGUCCCCCAAUAGGAGGAAAGAUAAUUAAUAUAAAAUAAUUUCAUAUUUUUUCAAGCAGGAAUAAUUUAAAAAACAUAAAUCCAAAAUUUACAGCAGAGAUAACAACAAUAUUUUGGUUAGCAAUUUUUAUUUUAUUUUAAUUAAGUGUUAUUUUCCUCAAGCCAGGUCCUUGGCUGCUUUUACUGUUCACUCUCAUGUGAACAGUGCGGGGUUUUGUUUUUUUCUUAGAAAAAAAAAAUGUCCAUGCAUUUGUGCCCUAUUCUUUUCGUACUGUUCACGUGAACCGUGCAUGAUGACAGACCAAUCAACCAGUUUCAAUGGUAAACCCACAAAUCGUGUGCGACACAGCCACCACAUCACCAUCAGAAAAAAAAAAAAAACCGUGAACGGUUUUGUACUAGAAUUGAAAGUUGGGUAAUCAAAUAAUUAAUUAAUCAAAGGUCAAAUACUAAAUUUAUAGUUUUUCUUCUUUGAAAGCAAAAGUCUAAGAAAAGCUUUCCUUUCAUUCCCAGUAAUUAAUCAAAGGUUAAAUUCUAAAUUUAUACUAAGUAUACUUUCUUAUUACAAUUUGCUAGAAUUGAGGAUUUAUCUCAACCAAUUAUGGUUUUUUUCACUAUUUAAAUAGCUAUCAUCAACUUUCCUUUUAUUUUCCUUAAUAUCUUCUCUCGCUCCCACCAUCUCCAUCCUUUUUAUUGACGUGGUUAUUUUUUUAAUAAUAAUAAAAUUAAAACAUGGAUUAUUUUUUAAUUUUUUUAUGUAUAAAAACUAUACUACACUUCAUGCCUCGUAUUUUUUCUUAUAAUCUAUAUCUACAUGCAUUGUUUUUUAAUUUUUUGAUGUGAGAUAACUAUACAUGACUACAUUUACAUAUAUUAUUUCUUAAUUUUUCAACGUGAGAUAAUUAUAUAUAGCCUACAUCCACGUGCUUUGUUUCUUAAUUUUUUGAUGAAAUAUAAUUAUACUACACUUCAUUUUUUUUUAGUCUAAAUCUAUAAUUAUUAUUUCUUAAUUUUUCAAUGUUAGACAAUUAUAUAUAACUUACAUCCACAUGAAUUGUUUAUUAAGUUUUUGACAUGGGAUAAGUAUACUACAUAUUUUUUUAUAAUCUAUAUCCAUAUAGAUUGUUUCAUAUAUUUUAUGCUUCAUAUUCCUUUUUUAUAGCUUAUAUAUACAUAUGUUUAUUAAGUUUUUUAUAGCUUGGUAGUGUAAUAUACAUGUUUUUUUAAAAAUAUUUUUUAAUUAAAAAUAUUUUAAAAUAAUUUUUUUAUAUUUUUUAUAUUAACACGUUAAAACUUUAAAAAAAGUACUUGCAAAUAUAAAUUUAAUAUUUUUUAAAUAAAAAAUAAUUUUAAAAGCAUAAACUAUAUAAACAAAUACUCCCUUAAUCAAAUAUAUCAUGGAAGGAUGGGCAUUACACCAUACAAGAGGGUAUACAAGGAUCCAUGCACCCACCUACGUUAAAAAACAUGCAAGUUGAUGUUUCCGAGACCAUUUCUAUCAAGUGGACAACAGUCGUAACGCUAUCACUUUCACCUCACAGUAAUUUGUUAAUUUUCAAGACAUUCAUCCUUAAUCGUGCUCUGAGAUUAUAAUCGACAAAGAACUUAACGUCUCCAUCUCAGUGGAGAUUGGAUGCUCCAAGGCUAUUCGUUGAAUUAUAAGAAUAACUUAGAUUUGAUAGCUCAUUGGCUGGUUUUGCUUUUGGAUUUGUGAAAAAAGCUCUAUCACGUGACCUUUCUUAUUCGAUUAUUAUAAAGAUAUAUCUCUAACUAUAUAGCAACAAAUUGAUUGAUGUUACUGCUGGGAUUGCUUUAUAAAACAUAUAGUUGAUUUUUUAAAGCUAGAUUAUACAAGUGAGUUGUGUUCAUAAUUAGGGUUAAAAUUAUAUUGCAUUUUAUAAUUCAAAAUAAAUAGUAAUAUGAAAUAUUAACUUGUUUUAAAAAAUAAUUAAAAGUGCAUGAGAAAUUGUUGCUCUAAAAAAAACAUUUUAGAUAAUAAAAGUUUUGAACUCAAAAUAAUGUUUUAAGUAUAAAUUAUUGAUGCUUGAUAACAAUAUAUAUAUAUAUAUAUAUAUAUAUAUAUAUAUAUAUAUUCAUAAUUAAUUAUAAAGAAUUUUCUGAUCUCUAUCUCUAUCAGAGCAUCACGCUUUUCCAGUUCUCUACGCGUUGAUCUCUAUCACAAUCAAAUCUUUCAGCCUAUAGCCUAACAUUUAGGGUUAGACUCUGGUGUCUAUGGACUUGCACUCGCCCUUCUUCUUUUUUUAAUGUGUUCUAGCUAUAACAUGUAUUACCUGCCAAGCUUCUCUGUAAACUUACAGCAAGGUUAUGCUGUUUUAAUAAUGCAGUGUUACUUAUUCAUAGAGGUUAACCGGUUAAGUUUUGGAUAUUAUAUCUAAUAACUAUAAGUUUGAGUUCUCUCGUGAUUAUUAGAAACUUACAUCAUCAUUAAUUUUAGAGCUCGUGGGAUUAGUUGAGGUACGCGCAAACUAAUCAGGACACCAUGUUAAUAAAUAAUAUAAAUAAAUAAAUAAUACGGUGUAGCUCAACUGGACAGGUUCUGGGUUUGCCUGAGUUUGCUUUUCAAAUAUCACCAGUUCGAGUGUUACAAACUUUAGAGCUACUAAAAGCUUAUCUAGUUGUUAAUUUCAGAGUCUCGGGAGAUUAGUCGAGACGUGCAUAAACUAACCUGAACAUCCAUGAUUCUAAAAAAAAAAAAAUGUCUUCCCACUAGCAUUUAGUUUGAUGCAAUUAAAUUUAUAGAGAGUUGAUAAAAAAAAAUAAUCCCACAAAAGGGUCUUUAUGUUAUGAACCAUUUUCCUAGUUUUCUUUUUCUCUACUAAUAAAGUCAUACACCUAGUGCAAUUAACCCUUUUAUUUAACAAUUUUUUUUUUAAAUUUUAGUCAUAAAAAAGAAAGCAAAAUAAAUUUGACGGGGUCAGUAAUUUCAUGAUUAAAGCUAGCUUGUGAGAACCGUUAAAAAAAUUGGUUUUGAGACAUGAUUGACGGGUAAUGACAGUUUAAACUUGUGUUGCACGGGUUAAAACUUUGUAAGAAAUAUUUUAUCACCAUGAAUAUAUUAAUAUAAAAUAUUAAUACAUUCAAAACUAUUUAUAUAUAAAUAAAAAAUUUAUUUUAAAGAAUUCCUAGUUAAUAAACUCUUACAAAUUCAAAAAGUCAUGUGUAUGUGUUUAUGAGCAUGCUAAGUUAAUUAUUUUUAUUAUACUAUCAAUUUUACUCUACUUGCAAUAUAUUAUUAUGCUCAUAUAAAAAUUGAACCAAACAAUUUUAUUGGAACUUUUUCCCAGCAAGAUCAUACAUUGUUUAAUUAGUGCUCUCUAUAAGUAGAUAGCUAGCUUGGAUCCUGGCUUAUUUUUGUUUUGUAUGCAUACUUGUUUUAUAUUAUGACUGUAAUUAAGUUUAUAAAGAAUUUAUAAUUUUUCAUAAUUAAUUAUAAACUAGAUAUUAUAUUUUUAUGUAUUUAAUUUCCUGCGACAAUUUGGACAAGAGUUACAUGAUGUUGUUCGAGAAACAAAUAUGGUUAUCGCAUUAGAAAUUGAUGGUAUUGUUGAUCAUCGCCUUAAAUAAUCUCUUGUUGACAUCUACUAAUCCUUGAUUAACUCGAGAUAUGAGCAGAAUUACUAGACAUGUUAAAUCUCACUUAAAAUCCACUAAAAACAACCAUCUAGAUGGUGGUCCAGUGGUAAAAGCUUGAGACCAAGAGGUUUGCUCCCUCUGUGGUCUCAGGUUCGAGCCUUGUGGUUGCUCAUAUGAUGGCCACUGGAGGCUUACAUAGUCGUUAACUUCAGGACCCAUGGGAUUAAUCGAGAUGCGCGCAAGCUGGCCCGAACAUCCACGUUAAACUAAAAAAAAAAACCCACUAAAACCAAAGCUAGACAUCACGAUCCUGUUGAUAUCUCCAUCCAACCCGUAUCCCUCUAAAAACCAUUAAUGAGCUAGUUUGCAAAAUUGGAUUCUUAGCACAGAAAACUCUUUCUAGUUUGCGGCCAGUCCUAAACUGUAGAGUAAGGCUGUUGCCACCCACUUUUCUUUAUUGCUAACAGCUACUAAUGUUUUUUCUUCCUACAAGUUAGGGUAUUUUAGGCCAAUUUUUACAGAUCGAAAUUCAAUUCAUCUUUUCGGUGGACCGUCAAGGAUAGGGUUUCAAAUAUUAUAUUAGAAAGAGAGAGAGAGAUUUUAAAAACAUAUUUUUUUUGAUUGAAAAUAUAUUAAAACAUAUAAUAUGUAUACGAGAGCUCAUAUCUACCAAUAAGUUCUCUAUCCGAUCAUCCUGAUGAUAAAUCCUCAGCUCCCUUCCCCGAGCUAGGAAGAGGUCGGUCCUGGUUUCUUGUCUGGUUCGAACCAUCUUGAAACAUCAUUUCAAUUCUAGCACAUCUUUUAACCAACUUUGUUCUUAAUUGAUAGAAGCACCAAUUUUUUUUUAACCAAACUUCUGAAGAGUUCCCUCUAAAAUAUAGCGUAGAUUAUUUACAAUUUUCUAUUUCACAAAUAAAAUUCUCAACCCAAUGUUUUCAUUUUCUUGAUUGAGUAUCUCCUGGAUCAUUUCCACGUCAACAUAUUUCCUAAAAAUUCAUUACUUCACAAUAAGUUAACAUGACAAAAUAAUUUUUUUUUAUAUUAACCAACCACACAACAUAUACAUGAAAAAAUGUUAUUAUAUAUCAAUCCAACAAUUAUAACACAAAAAAAUAAUGUACUAAACAUUUAAUUCAUAUAUAUAUAUUUACAAUAAAAAAAAUUAACAAUACUAAUUACAUCUUCAUAAUAUAAUAUUCAUGCUGUCUUAUAAUAAGUCUAGAAUAACCCUAAUAUUAUUAUAUUACAUGAAUUAAAACACAAAGUAUUCUAUUCUUGAAGUUAAUGUGAGGAACCUAAAAAUAAAACAACAAAUAAUAUAAACGAAUCAAGUAAAUAAAAUAAUACCUUUAAAAACAUUUAAGAAUAGAAGCUACCGUUCCCUAAAUACUCAAUAAACCUAUCAAAAAAGCUUGAUAACAAAACUAUUAUAUGCAAUUAUGUCAUAGGUGGUUUGAUAACGUAGCGUGAUCGUGUUUUUUGAAAAUAUUAUUAUUUUUUUAUUUUAAGUAAUGUUUUGUGUGUUCUUAGAUUGUUUUGAUAUAUUGAUAUUAAAAAUUAAUUUUAAAAAAUAAAAAAUAUUAUUUUGAUGCAUUUAUAUUUAAAUGAAAUAUUUUAAAAAGUAAUCACUUCACAAUAUUAUAUUCUACCUUCCUUUUUUUUUUGGAGCAAGCUACGUCAUACAUGUAAUUUUUUUUUAUUUGAUUUGAAGGAUAGUCUUGAUCUAACUAUCACAUGAAUUGAUGAAACUGAGUUUUUAUCCUAAUGAAUUUAAGAACACACUCUCAAUCAAUAUUAGGGUACAUUUACAAAAAUCCCUCUCUACAUUGAUUCUAAAUUUCAACCUAAAUAACAAGAAAACAAGCAAAUAUCCCAACAACAAAAUCGAUCCAUUUGAGGACAUGUCGACCUGUUCACAUGAUAUUGUUCAUAUAUAUCUUAGAAGUAGAUGAUCUGUUUUUUUCCUUUUAUGGUUGGGGUGGUGGGGGCGGUGGCCGUUCGAAUUGGAAAGACCUGGGGAAGGGCAUAAAAUCAACUGCAGAAACCAAUCUUGACAUCAUCAGUGAUCUAAUAUCUUUCCGAGUGGCAUCACCGGUGAUGGUCAAUUGUACGGACGUGGUUCUAGAAAGCCACCUAAACCGUGCUGGAAACUCUUAAUGCCUCGCGUCUACCGUCAAUUAAUAACCAGGGAACUUGAAGAGGGAGAGUUCUCCUCCGGCUCCUCGGCCACACCCACAAAUGUGGACCUUCACACGAUGAUACUUCUAGAAUCAUUUAUCUUCUUCCUUCUCCCCCUUUCCCUUUCAUGUUUUCCUUGACAUAAUAUGGUUUUUUUUUUUUUUUUUCAUGAAAAAUAUUUGAAGAUGUUCUUGCACGAAAAUACCUUUUCAAGUGACUGGUAAUUGAAAAUCACAAUUCUAGAAUCUUUUGACUUGCGUGUGAGUAUUUUUAUAAGGGUGUAUUUAGAUUAAAUUUUUUUUUUAAAUCAAUAUCAAUAAAUCAAGAUUGUAAAACAAAAACACAAUUUUUAUAAUUCAAAUCCUAAAAAAAAAUAAUUUUAAACGCAAUACCAAAUAUUACCUUACAUUAAACAUAAAAGGAUAAAAAUUUAUUUAUUUUUUUAAAAUUUUGGGAGGCAAUUUUAAAUGUCAUUUUAUAUAAAAAAAAACUGUAUAAAUUAUAUUUGCUAACUAAAAUAUAAGUUUCUUUUCAUUUAAUAAUUUUCUGGAAUUUGAGUUUGAAAAGAUAACAAAAGCAACGAACCAACUUAAUUACAAUCUAGACUAAUACAGCAACAUCUACACCCGGAGGCAGGACCAGACUAUAACCAAGAUAAUAAUAAUGUGCCUAACCUAAAGGAAAAGUACUGUAAAGCCAUAUAUAUAUAUAUAUAUAUAUAUCUUAAUUAAUAAUAAUUUAUUUUUGAUGUUAUAAUAUUAAAACGAUUUAAAUAUAUUAAAAAAUUUAAUUUUAAAUAAAAAAUAUUCUUAGAAACACUUUUAAGAUAUAAAAUCAAAAGGGCUCUAUUACUUGCUUAUUUUUGACGUUCCAAGAAUAUCUUAUAUAUUUUUUUAUUAUCAUGACUUAUAAAUAAUUUUAUUAAUUAAUAAAGUUAUUGUUUUUCGACAGACGCCCCAUGUCUUUUUUGUAGCAAUUUUCUAGAUACAUUGACAAACAAAAAGGAGGGGGUGGCGCGUGCAAAUCGUGGCAAAAAGGAAGAAACUCCAGAGAAGGUGGAGAUUGAAGAUACUAAAAUAGAACCCAACUAUCAAUUACUUAUUUAUUAUUAUUAUUUCUUUCACCAGAGUCAUCUUCUAACGAUUUUCUCUUUCAUCGUUUUGUUUUAUUUUUUCUUUAAAAUUUUAAUUAUUAAUAAUAAUAAAAAAAGAGUUUGAGCAAUUCAAAUGGUAGGCCACCACUACGUACCAGUCAUGUACUCCUGCAUCCAUAUAAAACAUGCUCUUGCUUUAUUCGGGGACACCCCACUCCACAUUUUCUUCACCUUAAGAGCAAGAUCAACCCCAAAGAUUUGGGAUUUCUCUGGUUCAAGUUCAAAACAUAGAAAACGAAAUCCGGGUAUUGAUUGGUUCUAGCUGUUUUUGAAGAUUUCUUUUGAUUCAACAUCCAAAACGAAGCAACGAUAAUAAGAGGAAACAUUAUCUGGGUUUUGGUUUGUUUUUGUUGUUGUUUAAGUAUACUGAUCCAUAAUCUAUGGAGAGUGCUGAUAUUUAUAGAGCUAGUAGUAGUUUAAGAGAUAGUUUCAGAGCAGGUUCUUCAGCGUGGAGAAACACUACGGUGGAAGCAUUUUCUAGAUCUUCAAGAGAAGAAGAUGAUGAAGAGGCUCUAAAAUGGGCUGCAAUUGAGAAACUUCCCACUUAUGAUCGAUUAAGAAAAGGUAUAUUAACUAGUGCAUCGAAAGGUGUAGCUAAUGAAGUAGAUAUUGAAAAGCUUGGACUCCAAGAGAGAAAACAGUUGCUUGAGAGGUUGGUCAAAGUUGCAGAAGAGGAUAACGAGAAGUUCUUGUGGAAGCUCAAGGACCGUGUUGAAAGGUAAAAAAUUCUCCAUUGUUUCUCCUUUUUUUUUUUCAUGUGUAUUUUCUCUGUUUAAUUAUAGAGAAAAUGUCCUCAUGGAGUUUAAACAUUUAGAGAGAACUGACUUUUAAUUUAUUAAGAGGGAGAGAAAAAUGCUUAUAUACUCAAUCGGCUAUUUGUUAAUUUCUCAUUCAUGACAUAACUUCAAUAGGUUUUUGAUCCAGAAAAAAAAAAAAAAAGCUGAAAAGAUGGAUUUUGUUCUCCCUCUUUUUGAUUGGAAAAGUUGUUGAAGUUCUUGAUUUUUUGUAAUCUUUGGCGUUUCAGGGUUGGCAUUGAUGUUCCAACAAUUGAAGUUCGGUACGAUAAUCUAAAUAUCGAAGCAGAAGCAUAUGUAGGGAGUAGUGCUUUGCCUUCAUUUGCUAAGUUCACUUUUAAUAUAAUAGAGGUAACGACUUUAGCAAACAUUUAACAUCAAUUAUCGCUACUGAAAUAUGAUACUUUUGCUCAUGCUUUUCUUAUUAACUAAUCACCAUUUUAUCGAUUUUGAAGGGUUUAUUGAUUUCUCUUAAUAUCCUUCGAAAUAGAAAGAAACCACUCACCAUCCUUAAGGAUGUUAGCGGAAUCGUCAAGCCAUCAAGGUAAGAUGAUCAUGGUCUCAAAUCUGUUUUCUUUAAAAUUCCUUCAAUAGUUAGUUGCCAGUUCUUAAUUUUUGUGUGAUGUACUUGUUAUAGAUUGACUUUGCUUUUGGGUCCUCCAAGUUCUGGGAAGACCACACUGUUGUUGGCAUUGGCUGGGAAACUUGAUCCUAAUCUGAAGGUGGCGAUAUAUUCUUGUAAAUUUGUAUAAUCCAUAAGGAUUUAGCUUUUAGUGUCUGUUUUAAUUUGAGAAGCUGAAUUCUCUCAUGCAGUUUUCUGGUCGUGUGACUUAUAAUGGUCAUGAGAUGAAUGAGUUUGUACCACAAAGAACAGCAGCCUAUAUCAGUCAACAUGAUGUCCACAUAGGAGAAAUGACCGUAAGGGAAACUUUGGCGUUCUCUGCCAGGUGCCAAGGGGCUGGAUACUUGCAUGGUUAGAAUAAUGGACUAAAUUCUCUUUGCAUUUUCCAUCAGAAUCAUAAGUUACUCUGGUGAUCUAUAACUCGAGAAAAUCUUGGCAUUUGACAGACAUGUUGGCGGAGUUGUCCAGAAGAGAGAAAGAAGCCAACAUUAAGCCUGAUCCUGAUGUUGAUGUCUUCAUGAAGGUGAGGAAAUAUAUUAUUAUUCUGUGUACUAAUUGAUUGAAAAAUAACAAGGAAAGAAGGAUAUACAUUUCUAUAAAACAACAUCAUUAUUCAGUUCAUCAAUGUUCUUAUUAUCUGAUAUUUAAACCAUAUUAAAAGGCCCUUCUUUUUACUUCACAAAUUCUACGCCAAUUUAUCAAAUCUCUUGAUCGAUGACUAGAAUUGGUGAAAUAAGUUACGAUUUCUGCUGUUUCUGGUAUUGCAGGCAGUAGCAUCACAAGGUGAUGAGGCCAAUGUCAUCACCGACUAUGUCUUAAAGGUAGUAUCAGUACGCAGCACUAGCAUCAUAAAAAUCUUCAGAAACCUUGAAAAUGAUAUCUGUCAAAUGUUUUGUGCCUUCUCUUAAAAUUACAGAUAUUAGGAUUGGAAAUCUGCGCAGACACUAUGGUAGGUGAUGAAAUGAUAAGGGGUAUCUCUGGAGGACAAAGGAAGCGUGUUACAACUGGUAACAAUCUCCAUUAGUCCAUUCCUAGUAUCAGGGACCAGUUAGUUUUCUUCAUUCUACUAAUCUACAACAAUGGAUCGUAGGUGAAAUGCUGGUUGGACCAUCAAGGGCAUUGUUUAUGGAUGAGAUUUCUACUGGCUUGGACAGCUCAACAACUUACCAAAUUGUGAACUCAUUAAGGCAUACCGUUCACAUUCUCAAUUGCACCGCUGUCAUCUCACUUCUCCAGCCAGCACCUGAGACUUAUGAUCUCUUUGAUGACAUUAUUCUCCUUUCAGAUGGCCAAAUUGUGUACCAGGGGCCUCGUGAACGUGUGCUUGAAUUUUUUGAACAUAUGGGCUUCAAGUGCCCUGAAAGAAAAGGCGUGGCUGACUUUUUGCAAGAAGUAAGCAUAAAGAAGGCAGUUGUUUUCAGCACCUUUGUUACAAUAGGAUCUCCUAUUGUCUAUAAGAAGAGCCUUAUGUGUUAUCAUAAUCUUUGUCAAUAAUGAAUGAAUUCAUUGCAGGUGACAUCAAGGAAAGAUCAAGAGCAGUACUGGGCACGAAAAGAUCAGCCUUACAGGUUUAUCACAGCCAACGAAUUUGCUGAGGCUUUUCAAUCGUUCACUGUGGGACGGAGGACUGCAGAGGAGCUUUCAAUACCGUUUGACAAGUCCAAGAACCAUCCAGCUGCUUUGGUAACCAAAACUCAUGGAGCUGGAAAGAAAGAUCUGCUUAAAGCUAACUUCUCUAGAGAAUACUUGCUCAUGAAGAGGAACUCAUUUGUCUACAUCUUCAAGAUUUGCCAAGUACUUACCGACAGAUCUUGCAUUAUCUAAAUUUCUGUUUUUUCGAAUUUUGCAUACAGUGUGACACCUUUUCAUUUCGUAUCAGCUUACAAUAAUGGCACUCAUUUCAAUGACACUCUUCUUUCGGACCAAGAUGCAUCGAGAUACAGUCAGGCAUGGUGGAAUUUAUACUGGUGCUCUGUUCUUCACUGCAAUCAUGAUCAUGUUUAAUGGUAUGUCAGAGCUAUCCAUGACCAUCGCAAAGCUUCCUGUGUUUUACAAGCAAAGAGACCUUCGAUUCUUUCCUUCAUGGGCAUAUGCAUUUCCUCAAUGGAUCCUGAAAAUUCCCGUAUCAUUUGUUGAAGUUGCUGCAUGGGUGUUCCUAACCUAUUAUGUGAUUGGAUUUGAUCCUAAUGUUGAAAGGUAAAUAAAAAUUCUUAUUUUUGUUUUAAACUUGUACGAGAAUCCAUUCUGAUCCAGCUGAUAUAUCAAGGUGAUGUUUUUCUCCAGGCUUUUUAAGCAGUACCUCGUGCUUUUGCUAAUUAAUCAGACGGCAUCUGCAUUAUUUCGAUUUAUCGCUGCAGCUGGAAGGAACAUGAUUAUUGCUAACACCUUUGGGUCAUUUGCGCUACUUACACUUUUUACAUUGGGUGGCUUCAUCUUGUCACGAGGUAUUAUGAUUAGGCUUUGAAAUUGUAUUUUGCAAUUUAAUAUGAAAGAAUUCUUUUUAACUUUUUGUUUCAUGCCACAGAGAAAAUAAAGAAAUGGUGGAUAUGGGGUUACUGGAGUUCACCAUUGAUGUAUGGGCAGACGGCAAUACUAGUGAAUGAGUUCCUUGGAAAUAGUUGGAGUCAUGUAUAGUUUCUUGAACUGGUCAUUUGUAUAUUUGCGCUUUGGGUUCUCAAUAGUCAACUGAUAUCUGAAGUUUUUCAAAUCAUAGGUUCCUGAAAACUCCACAGAACCACUAGGAAUACAAGUUUUGAAGAGUCGUGGGUUCUUCACAGAAGCAUAUUGGUAUUGGAUAGGAGCAGGGGCAACAAUAGGAUUCAUAUUACUAUUAAAUCUCUUCUUCGUACUGGCUCUCACUUUCCUCAAUGGUAAAUGUCAUAACUUCUCAAAUUCGUAGCUCUUGAAAUUUGGAGCUUAUUUUAAAUUAUUGCAAAUCGUGGUGGCAGCAUUUGAUAAGCCUCAGGCUUUUAUAUCUGAAGAGCCUGAAAGUGAUGAAUCUGGUCGCAAAACCGAACGAGCUAUUCAGUUAUCAAACCAUGGAAGUAGUCACGGAACAAACACAGGUAAAAGAACUCCAUCAAUGAAGUGUGUUUUUCCUCCAUUUCUUAAUCCUAUUGGGUACUCAUUACCAAUAUAAUUUCAAUUUCCAACAGAGGGUGGAGUUGGAAUUAGCAGAGCUAGUUCAGAGGUCAUUGGUGGGGUCAGCAAUAACAGGAAGAAAGGAAUGGUCCUUCCAUUUGAACCACAUUCCAUCACAUUUGAUGACAUUAUUUACUCCGUUGACAUGCCACAGGUAUUGAGAUUUAGUAAAGUAGGAUUAUAUCUCACUUUGAUGUGAUACGAUUCUGAGAACUUGACAAAACUGAUCAUAGUGGUAUUGAAAUUUUCAGGAAAUGAAAGUUCAAGGAGUUGUUCAAGAUAGAUUGGUGCUUUUGAAUGGUGUGAAUGGAGCUUUCAGGCCAGGUGUCCUUACAGCUUUGAUGGGUGUUAGUGGUGCUGGAAAAACAACUUUGAUGGAUGUGUUAGCUGGUAGGAAAACUGGUGGAUAUAUUGACGGAGAAAUCAAAAUUUCAGGGUACCCAAAGAAGCAAGAAACUUUUGCUAGAGUUUCUGGAUACUGUGAGCAAAAUGACAUUCACUCUCCACAAGUUACUGUUUAUGAAUCCUUACUCUACUCAGCUUGGCUUCGUCUACCACCUGAAGUUGACUCUGAAACCAGAAGGGUAGGUGCUCUCUGCCUUAAAUAUGUUUUAGGCAUCUGGGAAUCGUUGUGCAUGUUGGGGUUCUGUGAAAUUUUCUUUAUAUCGUUCUUGUUUCCUUUUUGGCUUGCUUGUCAUCUGAUGAAGUUCAAUCACUUAAUCAGCAUUCCCUAGUUGAACAGGCAUUUCCAUUUUAUAUUUUAUCGUGUGAUCAAGAUCACUGAACCUGUUCUAUAUCGCUAAGAAGGGUACUGGUGAAGUUGAUAGUUGUAGUGAUGGUGCUAGGAAGCUUCAAUUCAAUUCAAUUCAGCCAGACACACCCAUUUAACCUAUACAUUGCCAAAAUUGCUUCCAGAUGUUCAUUGAGGAAGUCAUGGAUCUUGUGGAGUUGAAUCCAUUGCGCCAUGCAUUAAUAGGGUUGCCUGGUGUGAAUGGUUUGUCCACCGAGCAGCGCAAGCGGCUAACCAUUGCAGUUGAGCUAGUUGCAAACCCCUCUAUCAUAUUCAUGGAUGAGCCAACUUCAGGGCUAGAUGCAAGAGCUGCUGCAAUUGUGAUGAGAACAGUUAGGAACACUGUGGACACAGGAAGAACAGUUGUAUGCACCAUCCAUCAGCCCAGUAUUGACAUAUUUGAAGCUUUUGAUGAGGUAAGAAAUGUUAGCAAAUUAUCUCUAUCAGAACUUUGCCAUGAUUUUAUCACCAUAACAAUCUGCAUUAUUUAAAAUGGCAUGUAGCUAUUCCUGAUGAAGCGAGGAGGACAAGAGAUAUAUGUGGGGCCUCUGGGUCGCCAUUCUACCCAUCUAAUAAAAUAUUUUGAGGUAUGUUUGACGUGAUUAAUUAUCAAAUAACACAAACAGUUGUAUGUUCAGACCUAUACUCAGACUAACCAUCGACUAAGUCAUAUACCUUUCUAUUUGUGAAGGCAAUUGAAGGAGUCAGCAAAAUUAAAGAUGGUUAUAAUCCAGCAACUUGGAUGCUGGAAAUUUCUAGUUCAGCACAAGAAAUGGCUUUGGAGGUUGAUUUUUCUAACAUUUACAAGAAUUCAGAUCUGUUCAGGUCAGAUAAAGUACAUGGCUAAGUGGUACAAACUAAAAAAUAUGCUAAAGCCAUGCAUUUAAGUUUUGACUUUGGUAUAAUAAAGCAUUUAAUUAAGUAUUUAGUGACGAAUUUUGUCUAAAAUUUGUGGAUGAUGUGUGACAUAAUUCAGGAGAAACAAAGCACUCAUUGUGGAAUUAAGCACACCUGCUCCUGGCUCGACAGACCUUUAUUUCCCUACAAAGUACUCAACAUCAUUUCUCACACAAUGUAUGGCUUGCUUAUGGAAGCAACAUUGGUCAUAUUGGAGGAAUCCACCAUACACUGCCGUGAGAUUUAUUUUCACAACCUUUAUAGCCUUGAUGUUUGGGACAAUGUUCUGGGACCUUGGCUCCAAAGUGUAAGUCACAACGGGGUUCUUUAAAACAAUUUAAAAGUUCAGACUUUGCUGGUUUGCGUCAACGUGCUCAUUUAAUUUCUCUCACAAACUGUAGGAGUAGUACCCAGGAUCUUUCCAAUGCAAUGGGUUCGAUGUAUGCAGCUGUUCUUUUCCUUGGUGUCCAAAACGCAUCAUCCGUGCAGCCAGUGGUGGCUGUUGAAAGAACCGUCUUCUACAGAGAAAGAGCUGCUGGAAUGUAUUCAGCUUUGCCAUAUGCCUUUGCACAGGUAACAAUUCAUCAGGCUUUAAGAGACUUCACUUGUCAAGUAGGAAUGUAAUGCAUGUUUUCCUCACCAAACUUUUAUCAUUUGUUGCAGGUCCUGAUCGAGCUUCCGUAUAUUUUUGCUCAAGCUGCAGUCUAUGGCAUUAUAGUUUAUGCGAUGAUUGGAUUUGAUUGGACUGUUGCGAAGUUCUUCUGGUACCUGUUCUUUAUGUACUUCACAUUAUUAUACUUCACCUACUACGGAAUGAUGGCUGUUGCAGUGACUCCAAACCACCACAUUGCUUCCAUAGUUUCCUCUGCAUUUUAUGGAAUAUGGAACCUAUUCUCAGGGUUUAUAGUUCCUCGGCCCGUAAGUGUUUCACUAUCUUAUCAUUUCAAAUUCCAAAUUUCCAUAGUGUUGGGUUACCUUGUGGAAUAAUUUUGUGAUUCAUUUAUGUGCUUUGGUCUAUAACAGAGCAUACCUAUAUGGUGGAGAUGGUACUCCUGGGCUUGUCCAGUAGCAUGGACCUUGUAUGGAUUGGUUGUAUCACAGUUUGGAGAUAUACAGAAAAAACUUACCGAAACUCAAACAGUGAAAGAAUAUGUGAAGGAUUAUUUUGGUUUCCACCAUGAUUUUCUUGGAGUAGUCGCAGCGGCAAUUGUUGGGUGGACUGUCCUCUUUGCUUUCAUAUUUGCCUUUGCUAUCAAGGCUUUCAACUUCCAGAGGCGAUAGAAAUUUUAUUUACACACACACACACAUAUAUAUAUGCUUUUACUUUAUUUUUAAUUCGUUUACGUUCUGUAUAGGCUAUGUAGGUUUUAUUGUCAAUUUCGCAAAGCGCUUAAAGCUAUAUUAAUACGAGUACAAGAAUUUCUUGGUCUUGCUUUAAAGCUUGCCUAAAGCAAUGAAUGCCCCCCUUCUUCUGCUUUUGAAUCUGCCGAACAGUUUAUGCUUAUUUUCCAUUUGAUAAUAAAAGAGAAACCUAAAGGAAUGGACUGUCCUCAGGUCAUCCGUCCAAGAUCGGAAAAAUUGUGAGAGUACGUACAUUGCUUCCAUAAAGACCAAAUACCAACAGCCUAAUAAAUCACAAUCGUUCAGGAGAACAAUAUUUAGAGAAGAUCGACACACAAAUCGCAGUUUUCAUCUAGUUGGGUACCUUAAUUCCUCUUCGACAGAUUAAGUUUAGCAGGGAGAGAAUUCUUACGGGUUCUCCAAACAAAGUUCUCAGCGUGCGGAGGAACCUAGAGGUGCCACAUUUGCCUCUACCGUGACCUUGUUUUGCUGAGAAAUUGCCUCAGAAAUACCAACCCGAUCAAACCGCACAACCAUGUUGACUAAUUGCUUGUGCGAGGACAAACGACUGUCUCGAUUGGCAAAUGGUGGCUAUAGUGGUCUUACAUUGGAGAUAGAAUUGAUGAACCUUGGAGUACAGCUGCACAAGUGGGUUAGAUGAGAGUGUACUUGUCUUUUGUCUGAGUUGAAAUAAAUAAAUAAGAAAAAGGAAUAUUAAUAAUUAAUAGGAUUAAUUAGGAUUUUUCCUAUGGUCAAUAACAAGAGUAUCACAAUUUUCAUGAUCGAUAAUGAAGGAAUAUUUCGCAUUUCAAUCAUUCAAUUUGGGAAGAAGGGCUACAGAGGAGCUUUCAAUCCCAUUUGACAAAAAGUAUGGAGCUGGAAAGAUGGAUCUGCUUAAAGCUAACUUCUCAAGAGAAUACUUGCUCAUGAAGAGGAACUCAUUUGUCUACAUCUUCAGGAUAUCCCAAGUAAUUAUCGACAGUCAUUACAGGAUCGAAGGUUUUUGUUUUUUUUUUUUUGCAUGACACUUUUUACUGAUCUUCUAUCAGCUGACAAUAGUGGCAUUGAUUUCCAUGCCACUCUUCUUUCGGACCAAGAUGCACUGAGACAUGGAAUAAUUUAUACUGGUGCUUUGUUCUUCACUGCGACCACGAUCAUGUUUGAUGGUAUAGCAGAGCUACCUACGACCAAAACAAAGCUUCCUGUGUUUUCCAGGCAAAGGGAACUGUUCUUUCCUGCAUUGACAUAUUCAAUUCCUCCAUGUAUGCUGAAAAUUCCCAUCAAAAUUGAUUGCUGCAUGGUUGUUCCUAACCUACUAUGAAAUUGGUAUGAUCCGAACUUGAAAAGGUAAACAAGGAUUCUUAUUUUAUUGUAUACUGCCAUACUGGUGCCUUCUUCUUCCCUGUGACCACGAUCACGUUUAAUGGUAUGGAAGAGCUAUCUACGACCAUCGCAAAGUGAUGCUGGCGUAAUAUAAUAGGACAAUAAUAAAACAGAUAAUAUAGAAGUUUUAAUGAGAAAAAAAAUGAUAGCUAUCCACUCUAAAUUUAUAAUUUUAUUCUUUAAAAAAUAAAAAAUAAGUAAAUGAUGACCAUCUCAUCAAGAAAUUUAUAAAAACUUUAAAUAAGUUAAAAAACCCUAUUUCUACUAAGAAACAUCUUAAAGUCAAAAAGCAUAAAGAAAAUCAAAACAAAUCUAAAAAUAAUAACAAAAUUGACUCAAAUAAUAAUUUCUAGGCUUAAAUCCAAAAGAUCCAACGCUCGGAUAAAGGAUGAAAGAGCUUUUUAUUAGAAAGAUACUUGUAAAAUAAUCUAGAAAAAUUUAAGUCUGAUUCAACAGUUAGAUAUGUUAUUAUCAUAAUUUUAAUUAUUUAGUUAAAUCACUAAAUAAGUAAUUAUACACAAAUAAUGAAGAUAAGGAUUUUAUGAUCCCCACAACAUGAUGACAUAUAAAAAAACAACUAAAAUGAAAAAAAAAUUCUUUAUAGCUAUAUUUUUUUUUAUUCACCAUUACAGCAUAAUAAUGAUUUUAACCUUUGAAAAAAAAUCACAAGCCUUGAUUUUAAGGGUAUUUUAAUAUUGUUUUACACAACUAAUUAGUUAUUUAAUGAUUAUAUAUAUAUAUAUAUAUAUAUAUAUAUAUAUAUAUCUUUUCCAUAAUUUUAAAAUAGUUAAAUAAUUCAAUUACCUUUAUUUUUUAAAAAAAUUAUAUGAGUUGACAAAAAGUAUUUUGGCCUUUUCAUUUUCUUAAAUACAAUAAAAAGUCAACUUUGCUAUGACAAUCAAUGAAAAAUAAAUCUUAUACAACUUUUUUAUCUUUAAUUUGGUUUCUUUUUCUUGAAAUAUUAUUUUUUUAUUUAAUAAAGUUGUUGACAGGUGCUUUCCACGUGCUAGCACCUGGGAUAUGCCACCUCUUAGUGACCAAACAAUCCAUUUUGCCGUGUUGUUGGAUGUGCUGCCACGUUCUCUUCCACUAGGUGACACAUUUUGUCAUUAGUUUGGCGGUUUAUUGUUGAUUGCCUUUUCUAUUUUUUUUCUUUUCUCUCCCCUCCCUAAAAAAUGCAGGUUUGUUCUUUUUUUUUCUAUUUCAAUUUCAAUCUUUAUUUUUUUGAUUUUUGAUUCUUUUGACUUCUUUAUAAAAAUUUUAUUUAUUUUCAAUUUAGUCAUUUAAUCCCAAUUUGGCAUAUUUUAUUUUUUCCACUUCGUUCCUUAUAGUUUUGAUUUAUGAUUUUCUUUCUUGACCCUUUUGUGAAAGGUUUUUUUUUUAAAGUUUAAUCCUCAAUUCUAAUUUGUCAUAUAUAAUAUUUCACAAUUUAGUCCUUUUUUCUUUUAAUUUUGAAUUUUUCCUUGGAUCUUUUGUUAAUGUUAUAGUAGUUUUUAAUUUUAUUCUUCAAUCUAAAUUUGUUGUAUUUUGUUAUUUCUAAUUUGGUCCUUAUAUAUAUAUUUUUUGUCUCUUUAUAAUUUUUAUUUUCAAUUUAACCCUUUAAUCAAAGAAUUGUGCUCGUAACAAUUCACCAAUCAUUUCUAACAUCAAAAAGCAUAUAAUUCCUUUUAAUCAUUGCUAGAAUUAUUUAUGGGAGAUGCUGGUUGGACCUGAGAGGGCAUUGUUUAUGGAUGAGAUUUCUACUUGUUUGGACAGCUGAACAACCUUCCAAACUGUGAACUCACUAAGGCAAUACGUUCACAUUUUUUAUGGAACUGCCGUCAUCUCUCUCCUUCAGCCAACACCAGAGACUUAUGACUUAUUUGAUGACAUUAAUCUCCUGUCAGAUAGCAAAAUUGUAUACCAGGGUCCUCUUGAAAAUGUGAUUGAAUUUUUUGAACAGAUGGGUUUCAAGUGUCCUGAAAAAAACGGAGUGGCUGACUUAUUGCUAGAAGUAAGCAUAAACUUGGUACUUUUGUUUAGCACAAUUAUUACAAUAGGAUUUCUGAUAAGAAACGCCAUUAGUAUGGGUGUAAAGAUCAGCCUUGGGAAUAAUGAAUGAACACAUUGCAGGUGACAUCUAAGAAAGAUCAAGAGCAGUAUUGGGCACGUAAAGAUCAGCCUUUACAUAUUUGUCACUGUCAGCGAAUUUACUGAGGAAUUUCGAUCAUUCAUUGUGGGACGAAGGAUUGCAGAUGAGCUUUCCAUCCCAUUUGACAAAACUAGGAAUCAUCCAGCUGCUUUGGCAACCAAACAGUAUGGGGUUGGAAUGUUAGAUCUGAUUAAAGCUAACUUGUCAAGAGAAUAGUUGAUCAUGAAGAGGAACUCAUUUAUCUACAUCUUCAAGCUUUGCCAAGUAAUUAUUUACAGUUCUUGCAUUACCAUGAUUUCUUUUUCUUCCAAAUUUCACGUAGAGUAUAACAUUACUUUUGCAUAAGAAUUUUUAUUUUAUUUUAUUUUGGAUUCGAUGAAUUUGGAUUCGAUGAAACCUAUUUCCUAGAAAGUACACUUUGUAGAUUCAAAUGAGCGAUUAAAACCCCGGAUCCCAUAACGUGCUUGGGUUAGAACAAUAUUAAGAUGAGCGACCUCCUGUAAAUUACUGUGCACCCCAACCCACACGCAAGUAUGUGAUUGCUGGUAGGAUCUCGAGUUGGCGGGUUUUUCCCUGUGAUUUGGCUCUUGGGAAUGAUUGCUCUUCAGUGGGUGGCGUCUAGGAGUGUGUCACCGAGAUGCACCAAAAUUCACUCAUCGAUGGAGGAUUUUAUAGUGGUGCUUUAUUCUUCAAUGCCAAUCAUGCUUAAUGGUAUGUCUGAGAUAUCUCAGACCAUUGCAAAGCUGCCGGUGUUUUAUAAGCAAAGGGACAUCCGAUUCUAUCCUUCAUGGGCAUAUUCUCUUCCUCCAUUCGUCCUGAAAAUCCCUCUCUCAUUCGUUGAAGUUUUUGGAUUUGUGUUCCUAACCUAUUAUGUAAUUGGAUUUGAUCCAAACGUUGGAAGGUAAACAAGAAUAUUGAAUUACUUUAUUGGAAACUUGCGAAAGGGAUUUUUUGUGAUCUAACUGGUAUAACAAGCCAAUCUACUUCCUGCAGGCUCUUUAAGAAAUACCUUCUGCUUAUACUAAUUAACCAGAUGGAAUCUGCACUACUUCGAUUUACUGCCGCAGCUGGAAGAAACAUAAUUAUUGCCAACACCUUGGGGACAUUUGCACUUUUUGCACGUUUUGCGUUGGGUGGAUUCAUCACUUCCAGAGGUAUGAAGAGUAUAUUAUUGUAAUUCUAGUGAUUCACAUUUUGCAAUCAAGCUUCAAAGGAACAAUGUUUUUAUUUUACAGCCACAAAUGAGAUUAAGAAAUGGUGGAUAUGGGCAUAUUGGAUCUCGCCAUUGAUGUAUGAACAAAAUGCCGUAGUAGUCAACGAGUUCCUUGGAGAUAGUUGGAGUCAUGUAAAAAUUCUUGAACAAGUCAGUUCUAAAUUUAACCAUUUCUAAAGUUACUCUUCAAAUCACAGAUUCCUGAAACCUCAAACUCCAAAGAAUCACCAGGAAUGCAAUAAGUUCUUUACAAAAAGUAAAGUUACUUUUCAAAUCACAGAUUCCUGAAACCUCAAACUCCAAAGAAUCACCAGGAAUGCAAUAAGUUCUUUACAAAAAAGCAUAUUGGUAUUGGAUAGGAAUCGGGGUAAUCACCAUAUACGUGUUUCUAUUCAAUGGCGGCUACACACCAGCUCUCAAUUUCAUGCUUUUGAAAGUGACCAGAGCUUAUGUUAAUGUGUUGCAAAUCAUUCCGGACAGCAAUCGAGAAGCCUCAAGCUGUUAAUAUCUGAAUAAUCCAAAAGUGAGAGAUCUGGCGGGAAAACAAGAGCCAUUCAGUUUUCGAAUCGUGGAAGUAGCUGCAUAACAAAAACAGGUUAACAAUUCAGUUGAAAGUGUGUUAAUCUUUUUAAUUCCUUUUCUUUUUCUUUUUCAAUGAUUAUGUAUGAGGUUUUAAUUACCUAUAAUAUGAAUUUACAAGCAGAGAGUGGAGUUGGAAAGGUUAGAAGAAGUGGUUCAUAGUCCUUAAUUUGGCGAGGCCAGUGGCAGCAUGAAGAAAGGAAUGGUUCUUCCAUUUGAACCACAUUCCAUCACCAUAUAGUCCUUAAUUUGGCGAGGCCAGUGGCAGCAUGAAGAAAGGUAUUGUAGCUAUUUCUGAUGAUGCAAGGAGGACUAUAUAUAUAUAUAUAUAUAUAUAGGGCUAUUGGGUUGUCAUUUUAUUUAUUUAAUCUCGAGGAGUGUAGUUUAACUGGUCAGAAAAAUAAUUUGGAUUUUUUUGACACGGUAUUGUAGGUAUUUCUGAUGAUGCAAGGAGGACAAUAUAUAUAUAUAUAUAUAUAUAUAUAUAUAUAUAUAUAUAUAUAUAUAGGGCCAUUGGAUCACCAUUCUAUUUAUUUAAUUAAUCCCGAGGAGUGUAGCUUCACUAGUCAUGCUCUGAGUUUGCUCUUUAGAUAUCACCAGUUCGAGUUCCAUAAACCUCAAAGCUACUGGAGACUUACAUGAUCGUUAACUCCAGAGUUUUGGAGGAUUAGUCGAGAUGCGCGUAACUGGUCCAAACACUCACGAUUACCAAAACAAAAAAUACUUGGAGGUAUGCUUGAUGUGAUCAAUAAUCUGCGAACACAAACAGCUUACGUUAUCCUCAAUCUUUGUUUACACUAACCAGUGACUAAUUAAUAGAGAUAACAAUAAUAUUUUGGUUAGCAAACAUGUAAUUAUCAAAAUAACAUGAUUUUUAACCCAAUUACUUAUUAUAUUAUCAAUAUUAGGUAAUUGAAAAUUACAACUCCAAUACUUUUUAGCGUGGUAAUGUGAUGUAAUUUUUUUAAAAAAAUGUAUUUGAAUUUAAAAAAUAUCAAAUUAAUAUGUUUUUUUUACCAAGUUUAUGUUUUUAACAUAAACAUAUCAAUAUUAAUAAAAAAUACCUACAAAUAUUAAAUUGAUACUUUUGUAAUUCAAAAUUCUGAAAACUUAACAAGUAUAGCGUAAAUUCAUUAAACCUAAAAUAAUAACAAAAGAAUUGAACCGACUUAAUUACAAUCUAAAAUAAUACCACAAUUAGCAAAAGUUGACUAAUUAAUUUAAUUUGCAAAACCUUUUAUUCUUACACCAACAGUUUGUGGAAUUUAUCAAAUAUUUAAAAUUCAAAUUUCUCUAUAAUUUCUUAUAAUUCAACAUAGACAAUCAGAAUCCUCUAUUGAGUUCCAAAAAAAAAACUAUUAAAAAAUAAAAACAAGGAAGUAGUCCUCUAUUUAUUUAUGCAUUUUCUAGCUGGUUUUUAAGGAAAAAAAAAAUUCAAAGAGCCCAUCUAAAUUGUAGAAUAUUAUAUGGUCGGAGCUCAAUAGUCAAUUGGCUCUUCUCCAUGCUAUUACUGCUUACCUACUUUACAUCAUGUUUCACGAACAUAUUUAUGAAUAUGUUUGUUUUUGUAUUUAAGAUCGUGGGUGAGGUUAUGUACAAUCUAAUUAUACAUAAAAUUCAAUAAUUUUAUUUUUUUUUUAUUUUUUUUAGUGUUUUCGGUGAACUCCAUGCAUUUAUCAAAGAAAGUGAAGGGUUAGAUAUGCUUGCGGCUAGAUUAAGAAGUGUUUGAAAUCGUAUGUUUUUAAAACUUUUUAAUAUUAUUUUUGUUAAGAUUUAAUUUGUUUUAUGUUUUAUUAUUAUUUUAAUGUGUUAAUAUUAAAAAUAAAUUUUUAAAAAUAAAAAAAUUAUUUAAAUGCAUUUACAAGUGAAAAGUAUUUUAAAAAACAAUCGCUAUCACAGUACCAAACAAAUACUAAAUAAAAAUAUCAUUUUUACUAUCAUAUUAAGGCUUAUAUUUCUAAAUCAAGUUUUCAACUACAUUGCAUUAGCCAUUUUCGAAGUUUAUUCUCUUUUUGCGAACACCAAAAUCUUAUUGUUAUUAUUAAAUUCAUAAUAAUUUGUGAUUUGGUUUAAGUAAUUAUAGAUUUGAGGGAAUGUAUUAAAUGAUGUAAUCAACUAUUAUAUUUAGAUUCACUUGUUAAUUAUAUGGAUUUAUUUUAUAUUUUUUCUUAUAUAAACUUUACAAAAUACUGCCUGUAUUCAUUUCUUUAAUUUAUAAAGUUCUUAUUUUUCUACGUAUACACCUCAUCGUGUUUCUUCGUCCCUUUUUUUUUUAUUAAAAAAAAGCAGGCAUCACGGUACGUAGUUUAUUGGUCUAUGCAAAACGGUGUAAACAUGAGACGAUACCAUUGUCUGGUCUCUGUAUUGAGAUCAAAGCAAGGAAACAUUUCAGGUCAACGAGACUUUUUUUUGGUUCCACAUAAUACGAAAAUAUUAUGUAUUAAAAUACAUAAUAUUUAUCUAUUCAUUUAUCACUUUCUUUUUCUGGUCAAAUAAUACGAAAAAAAAAAACUACCAAAGUAUUUAUCUAUUCAUUUCCCACUGAAGUAUCUUCUAACGACUCUCUUUCAUCCUUUUGUUUUGUUUUUUCUCUAAAUUCUCAUUUUUAAUUAUGUUCAAUGGAAAUUUGAACAAGGUCAACAGUUCAAAUCAUAAAAAUUUGUUUUAUUUUAAUUUUUUUAAAUAGGUUAUAGUAGGGUGUUAUUAUUAUUAUUAUUAUUAACUUUAAAGGGUUGUUCUAGCAGAUAUCAGAUGAGGCUUGAGAGUUUGCUCCAUUCAGGUAUCAAGUUUGAAUUCUCCCGCAACAAAAAAACUAUUGGGGCCACGGGCUGCAGGGUGCUUUGCACCCUGUGUAAAGGCCGGUUCCGUCCCGUAGAAACUUAAAUGUUUGUUUUUGAGGUUGUUUUUGUGGUUGUGAUUUUAAAAAAUAAGUUUUAAAAAAGUAUAGUUAGUUGUGGUUAGUUUGAUUUAAAUACGUGUUUGAUAAAAAUUAUAGUUAAAAUUUAUGUGUAGCAAAAAACAAGUAUAAAAUGUUUGGUGGAAUUGUGGUUGCGGUUGCUUUUCAAAGUGCUUUUUACUUGGAAAUGCAUCAAAAUAAUUUUUAAUAUAUAUAUAUUAAAAAUUAUUUUUGAUAUCAGUGCAUCAAAAUGAUCUAAAAACAUAAAAAAUAUAUCAAUUUGAAGCAAAGAAAAAAAAUAAAAAAGUUUUAAAUUUUUUCAAAAGCGCUUUUGAAACGCAAAAGCAAACAGAAUUUUAUGAAACUCAUUUAAAAAAGCAUGUUAAAACUGUUUCACAAAAACUGUGUUUCAAACUCAAUUUUUUAGUGGGUCCCGCAGUACAAACGCAGUUUGGUUUGUUAGCAAACACCUUGUUGCGUUUGUUUCAACGCAAAUGCAAAAGCUGGUGAAAAACAAACACAACCUGUCUGGUCCGUGAAAGCUAACCUAGAAUACCCUGUAUCAUUAUUAUUAUUAUUAUUAUUAUUAUUGGGGUUGUAUUAAUUAAAUUAUUCUGUAAUUUUAUAAAAUCUCAAAUUAAUUAUCCAAAAAGUUUAUUGCGACAACAAACACUUUGUGUGAGGAUUUAUUUUAGAUUCCUAGUUGUUUUUUUAGUAGAUGAAGGUUUUCUUAUCCUAUUUAAAGAUCUUAUAAGAAGGUAGUCAUCAUAUAUAUUAUUUUUUAAAAAAUAAAAUUGUGAAUUUAUGAUUGACCUCGAGAACUAUCUUCUAUCAUUAAAUAUUUUAUGUUUUUUCUUGUAAUUUUUAUUUUUUUCCUUUUUUUCUUUAUAUUUUUUUUGAGAAAAUAUUAUACAAAAACUAAAAAAAAUGAUAUUUCACUAUAAUAAUUGCAACAUUAUUCUAUUUUUCUACUACAUUAAAAAUUAAUUUUAAAUUUUAAAUAUUUUUAUUAAUACAUAUAAUAUUUAUUUUAUUUUUUUAUAUGUAAACAUCAUAUUUGAUUUAUAGUUAUAUUUUUUAUCCGAUGUUAAAAAUUAUUAAUAAAAAAAAAUUAUUCAACAUGUAGCGAGCAAGUUGAAUAAACAUGUUUACAUUCAUUUUUUAUAUUUAUUAACAUAAAUAAUUUUUAAUUUAUCUACUUAAAUAUAUGUAUAGACUUUCUAAUUUAUCUUGACAAUGGUUGAAAUCAUAUUCAGAUAAUUUUUUUAUGAGCAAGUAGUCUGGACGUAAGUUUUAAAAUUAUCCUUAGAAAAAAAAAAACACAUUAAAAAAGCAUCAUCAUGAAUGAUGUCACACAACCCAAUCAGUUGAUGCUGCCAAUGGAAAAUUAUAUCGCUGUGGUUCUAGAAACCCAAAAAACUGUGGAAACGAGCAACUCCAACGCACGCAGGUGUAAAAUGGAGAGUAAAAAAUAAAAUAAAAAGUAAUAUUUUCACUUUUCUUCAUUUGUUUUUCAUGUUAUAAAAAAAAUUAAAUAAAAUGUUAAAAUAUCUUUUUUUUCUAUAAAUAUUAUUCUUAUACAUCUCUUAAAAAACCAAAAUUAAUAAAAUGAAGCCAAUAAAAAAAUAAACCAAUUAAAUAUAGCCAUGUGAAAAAUAAUAAUAUCAAAAUCAUUAAAAAAAUAAAAUACUUAUUUAUUGCACUUUAAUACAAUUGAUUUUUUAAAUAAUUUUUUUCAUUAGAAUAUAUAUAAUAAAAAAACUAUAUUUAUAUUAUUUAAAAUAUUAUUUUAUCAACUUACUUUUUAUAAAAUACAUCUUCCAAUAAAGAUGCUAUAAUAGACAUAACUUCUUCAUGUCAACGUGAAUUACCUAUGCCCUAUGCUGGUAGAAAAACAGAAAGGUAAAACGUCAUUUCACUUCAUGAUUCACGAGUUUUGACUGGCCGACAAUUCGUGACAAUUCUAUUCAACUUCCAUAUAUCGACGGGGCCCUAAUUUGACAUGGUGUCUUUUUAUAUACAUUAACUAAUACUCAGAUUUAAGUAUAACUUACCAUUAUUAUUACUUGAUGUACGGGCAGAACGCAAUAGUAGUGAAUGAGUUCCUUGGAAAUAGUUGGAGUCAUGUAUGGUUUCUUUAACUAACCCUUUGUAUAUUUGUGCCUUCGGCAUUCAAUAUCAACUGAUAUAUGAAGUUAUUGACGCGGGUCUUGUUCUUUUUCUAUAUACAAUAUUUUUGGUGUCAGCAAUUUGCAGAGCUUAAAUGCUUGUGGAUCUGACAAGAUAUUAGACCCAACAUCCCUAAAUUUAACUAUAUCAUAUGUUUACCUACGUGCUUAGCCCAAACGCUUGUGGGUCUGGCAAGAUACUAGAUCCAACAUCCUUUGGGCUCAGCUAUGUGCUGAGCUCAAACACUUGUAGUUCUGGCAAGGUGCCGAACCCAAAUUCCUCAUGUUUACAUUAGGCCCAAGUGCACGUGGAUAUAACACAACACUAAAUCUUUGGAUAAUCAUUCUUCUACACCUUUGGGUGUAUAAAAAUCCUCUAAAAGCCAAUUAUAUUUUAAUCGACAUUAAUGUCAUGAUAAGGCUAUUCCUACCAACGUUAAAUGUUAUGUACGAAAUAAGGUAUAAAAGUCUUCUAUAGCUCUACUGCUUGUUCAUCAACAUUAAUGGCGUGUAAGGGUAAUUCCCAUCAAUAUUAAUUUGUGUAAGAAGACGUUUCUAUCAGCAUUAAUGUUGAAGUAAGAUACUUUUUCCUUACUAAGAUAUUCAAGAGGAAAAUACUUUCAUCCUCUUAAACAAAAAGACUCAAAGUACAAGGACUAUAAAUACCCGCUGAACCACCUAGGUAAAAGGAUUCACGAUCGUUGUUCUCUUAUCAUACAUUUUAAAAGAAUUUAUUGCACCAAAACUAAAAGCGAAUGUUCUUGUUCUUAGAGUUUAAUGCUCUUCUCUUCACAACCAUUACUAUAAAGUCACUGACUUAAGUAUUGGAGGGUCCCUAAAUCCGAUAAAAAAGACUAUUUUGCAGGAACUAAGACUUCUACGACCAAUCAUCUGCUCUUCUUGUCCCUAGGAAUGGAAUAUUGACGUGAACGUAUGAUCAUUCAUUUUCUUAAUACUCAAACACUAUUACUGAGAAUAUUGGAUCCCGAGAGAUCAUUAAUUGGUGUCAUUUGUGCAAAAACAAUAAAAAAAAGUCAUCAACUACUUUUCUAGAGCUGGUUUUUGACGCCCCUAAUCGCUAUUAAUGACAGACAAUCAAAAAACCCCUGGGAUGAGACAUGUCACAGACCUCUCUGCAACAGCUGAUACGUCUAUUCUACCAUCCCCUUUAGAGCUUCAACAACUCAUUAACUAAGUGCAAGCUCUUAUCCAAGUCAUUUUGGCAUCCCAGGGACAACGUCAAACCUCACCAUACCAGUAAGCUCCAACACAUGAUGUAGCUUCUUCGUUACCAAUCUUUCAACCAUAAGCCUUCCCCUCUGCUAGGAGACAACUAUCCUAACCAGAAAAGACAAGGUAAAAUAACAUGGAUAACUUUCCAUUAUAAUGAUUCACUAGCUCCCUAGGGAUCAUUCUUACCGACAUGAAACUCUCCCAAUAAGCAAUCAAUCCAAAUGUAAUCCCUUUGGCCACUAUGAGAAAGAAAUUAACCAUCAAUCAUGUUGUUCCACGCUAGAAUCCUUUGGCUCCCAAGAGUCUGUCAGGAAAAAGUCUAGAAAAAUAUGGUCGGUCGACACCUUUAAGAUGGGACUUAUAGUCCUUAUAAGAUAAAUGGAUCUUUUUGUCUAGACGGGUCUUACAUACCCAUAUCCCCAAGGAGUAUAUCUUUAUAAAGAUGACCUUAGACAAUUAUGAUGGUUUGGCAGCUCCUAGAGAGCAUGUCCAAAACAUGCAUAGCUAUUGUGAGCUGGUCAUCCAAGAUGGUGACGCUUGUGCAAGAUCCUGCCUACGACCUUUAGAGGGUCAACUAGAGCAUAUUAUAACAAUAUAGAGCCAAGCUCUACAACGAAUUUCAAUGAUAUUUGUGCAAAACUCGUGUCAAGGUUCAACACCAGCAUACCUGCCAAAAGAAGCUCCACUGAACUCUUUAGUGUUACUCAGAUAAGAGGGUAGUCCACUUGAGCAUAUUUGAAAAGGUUCAGUGAAGAGAUGCUUCACAUGGAAGAAUUGAUUGAGUCAAUGACCUUAGAAGCUUUGAUAAAUGAGGUAAAAGAAUGUUCCAUGUGGAAGGGCUUGUACGCCCUGCCAGAUAGAAGCUUUAUGAAAGUAAAACAGGUUAUGAAAAAUCACAUCCGGGUAGAGAAAAUUAAUAUAUUGUGACAUGAACCUCCUUGUUUCUAUCAAGAGGCUUAAGAUAAAAAGCCCUUCAAGCGGAGUCAUUUUUCUAGUAGAGAGAAUAAUUCAAAGAAAUGUCAUAAAAGACCAGUAAGGAAGCGCGAGCAAUACCUUGAGAUAAGGAACAUUAUUCCCCAAAACAUCACCCUCACAAUAUUUUUCAUGGCUAUCAAAAUAAAAGACUAUGUAUCAAAAUAAAAGACUAUGUUUAAUACCCACCUUUUAUGGCAUCGCCUCCACACAUGCUCUUCUAAUUUUGUUAAUUUGUUCCACAAGGAAAAAGGCAUGAUACUAAAGAUUACUUCAUGUUGAGGAAUGAAAUUGAAAGACUGAUAUUUAAGGGAUACUUGAAGCAGUUUGUUAAGGGGAAUGCCCACGUAAAUCAGGAUAAAGAAGAACCUAGCCAACCUAUCCAAGCUCUACUCGAGGUUAAUGUGAUUCUAAGAGGCACCAGGAUAGGGGAGACACCUCUAGUGGCAAGAGGAAAUAUAAGAGAUAGAUCCUUAUAAUGGCUUGCCAACAAAGCCCAUAACACGAGCCCAUUGUUUUCAUUCUAGAAAAUAGAGAAGGGGUGACUUAUCCCUAUAAAGACACACUGGUUAUUUCCAUGGUUUUGGCUAACCAUAAAGUCCACUUGAUAUUGGUGGAUUAUGAUAGCUCUGUCAACAUCCUUUCCAUAGUUGUAAUAUCCUAGAUAGGGAUAGAUCCCUCAAAGAUGACUCCUGUGAGAACCAUUGGAACUAAAGGAUCAAGAGUACUCAUAAAAGGGUGCCUUAGAGAUCUUUGUCAUGAUCGGCAUGUACUCAAAGUGCCUCACCCUUCAACAAACCUUUAUGGUGAUAAACGUGAUUUUAACCUACAAUACCACAAUAAGAGGCCUCUUUUGCACCAAAUCAAUGCAGUCAUAAAGCAUGCAAUACUCAGUUUUGAAAUUCACCGCUUAUUAUUAUUAUUAUGUCAAUUGAUGAAUAUAUUGAAUACAAAUAUCCAUCUAAACAUAUUUAUUCAACAAAAUUAAAUAUUUAUACAAGUAAUUAUUGAAUAUUAAAAAUCAUAUCCUACAAUGAAAUAAAAAUAAAAAUUCUUGAUGUAUGUUCAAUAUAAAUUUUUAAUUACUCCUUUUGAAAGCAAUGUCAUAAAUUGUAUUAUUUGAUUUCAUUAGUUUUAUGAAAAGACUUGAUUGGAAAUUAAUAAAGUUAUAAAUGAUACAUAAUUUGAACCUUAUAUAAUUAUAUAUUUUUAAAUAAUUUAAAGAACUUUGAUGUAACUUGAUCUACAAUUAGAGAUAAUAAUUACUUACUUUUGUUUGCUCUUACAUCUUAAAGAAAAUCGAUUUAAUAAAAAAUAAUUAAUAGUAAGUAUAUUGUAAUAAAUUGUGAUUCAAAGUUUUUAUUUUACCUACUAAUAUUUUACCAUUUAUUUAGAAAGUUAAAACAUAAACGAUCAUUCUUUGCAACAUGUGCACAUAAGAAAGAAAAGAAUAGGUACAGUGUUUGAAGGAAGAGAAAAUAUGAAAAAAAAUAUAAAAUAAAUUGUGUGAGAGUUGUCUUGACAUGAACCAAUCAACUUAGCUAGUCCAAAGAUAACUUGUCCGAUCAGUAAAAAAAAUCGUAGGAUGAAAUGAAAAAAUAAAAUUGAUAGAAAAAAAUCUCAUGACCUAACUCCUUGCCUAACUUAGGUUUAAAAUUAAACUGUGUAGAAGUUAUCUCGAUAAGACCCAAUCGACUUAGCCUAUCAAAAAAUAACCCAACUAAUCAAUAAAAAAAAUAUGGGGAUGAAUUUGAGAAAAAAAAGGAUGAAAUUUAUACAAAAAUAUUUCGACCCGACUCUUUACCUAGCUUAAAUUUAAAAUUAAACCGUAUUGAAGUUGCCUUAAUAUGAUCUAGUUAACUUUGCUAGUCUAAAGAUACCCUAAAUGAUUAUUAAAAAAAAUUUAUCAAUGAAAUCGAAAAUAAAAAAAAGGAUGCAAUUGAAAGAAAAAAUAGGAGAAAUGAAAAAUAAAAAAACUGAAUUGAAAAAAAGGAGAAGAGUAGCUUCACCCAAAAAGCAGUCAAAGUUUUAGUGGAGAACAGUAGGUAAUAUAUUGACAUAACUUUUAAUUGGAAAGAGUUUAUUAUAACUUAAUCCUUGUGAUUUAGCAAAAUUAAUUAAUUAGUUAUGAUAGUUUCAAAUACUACAUGAAUAUUAAUCCACGUAAGGUCAAAUCCGUUCGUAACUUAAUUCCUCUAUAUAUUAAGUUAGUAAGAUGCUUAGUUGUCGAUCACUAAUUUAGUAAUUAUAAUUUGUUCCUAACAGCCUCUGUUUUCUAGCAAGUUUCCCAAUUUUAUCCAUGGCAUUAAAAAAUUAGAGACUUUUUCACGUUUUAUUUCUCAAAGUCCAAAUAUUUCACCAUAAAAUCACCCGUCACCAUUCACCAUUCACCACGACCAUCCACCACAGAAGUACAUUUAUGAAUAACAUUAGUGGCCCAGAAUAAUAUUUUCAUUGAAAAAAAGAGCCCAUGCGUGAAAUUAAUGUUAAUGGCUUGAGGUUAAAGGUGGGAGAGCACGAAAUCGGUUGAUUGGAGAUAGAAAAUGGAAGGGAUUGAUGUUUGUUUUUGUGUUUUAAAUUAUUUUUUUUUUUAAAUUAAAAAUUAUUAUUUUUUAUUUUUUUAGUGUUUUCAAAUCAUUUUAAUGCGCUGAUAUUAAAAAUAAUUUUUAAAAAAUUAAAAAAAUAUUAUUUUAAUGUAUUUUCGAGUGAAAAACACUUUGAAAAACAACCACAACCACACUCCCAAAACAAAAUUUAAUUUUUUAUGGAUUUGAUUUUCUAUAUAUAUAUAUAUAUAUAUAUAUAUAUAUAUUAAUUUAAACUGAGCAUUACAUACCUAUUUUUUUUUCUUAAAAAAAUGAAUAUAACGUGCAUUAAUUCUCUGUUGUUUAUUAGGAAUUAUCCGGAUAAAAUUUGUGACAAGAAAACUUGAAAAUUCUCAGUACCAUAUUUGAGCACUGAUCUCAACUAAUCAAUUUUAAUUGAUCAGUAACUUCUAAUUAUUUGCAAGGAUAUCGUUUCAUCUCAAGUUUCUGGAAGCUGGAGAUUAUCAAAGAUAAAAUUAAGAUAAAAACUAAUCAUUAUUAUUAUUGUUUUAUUUAAAUUAAUAUUAAAAUCAAUAAAUAUAAUAUAAUAUAAUUAUCGUUAAAAAAAUAGCUUGUUAUUUAUUAAAAAAAAUAAAAGGGUAAUGUGUGGGUUUCAUUUUAUGAUAAACGAGUUUAAUGUUUUUAAUUAAGCUAUAUAUUUGAUAUGCUUUGUACCCUUUAUUCAAAUCAACUAACGGUGCCUAAUCAAUUUAACAGAAGUUUGUAAUGGAUUUUAAUGAAUGGUUUAAAAUUAUUCAAUUUUAGUGAUAAAAAGGCCAAUUAAAGCCACUUUUAUAUAUAAAAAAAUUAUUACCGAAAAACUCAUGGCUCACCAUCUUUGAAUACCAGCCGUGAAAAUCAAUUUUAACUCAGAAGCUUCUCAUUCUUUUCGAAAAGUAUAUAUAUAAUAUUCUCACAUUUCUAGGUGCUUUGAUUUUAUACGCGAAGAAAAUCAUGUGGACAUAUCAAACUGAAAACCAUUCAAACUUGCCUGUUUUGACUUUUCAGAAUCUCCCUUUGUCUUAUUGUUUGCAAUUUUCUUGUCAUCUUAAAAUAAGGGCGUUGCUCAAAUUAGUCCCCAACUAUCAAUAAAUUCUCAAUAUAGUCCCCCUACUUCCAAUUUUGUAAACAUUAGCUAGGCAUCCCAUAAUCAAUAAAUAUAAUAUAAUAUAAUAUAAUUAUCGUUAAAAAAUAGCUUGUUAUUUAAAAAAAUAAAUUAAAAAGGGUAAUGUGUGGGUUUCAUUAUCCAAUAAAUUCUGCAGCUGAUCCUUUAGUUUCCUCAACUCUUUUGGCGCUAUUAUAUACGGUGUCAUUGAUAUUGACUUGGUAUCCAGAACCAAAUAAAUUCAUAACUUAAACUCCUUGCACAAAGGCAAUCCAGGUAAAUCAUUGGAAAAGAUAUCGAUGGAAUUCCUGACUACAGGGACCUGGUUUAACUGGAGAAUUUUAUUCACUGCAUCCACCAUUUUAAAAUAAAAUAAAAGCUUAUAGAAACAAAAAUAAUAAUAAAAAACAUCCCGGCCAUUAGUUUUUUUAUUUCUUAAUUAUUUUUUAUAUAUUUUUUUUAUUUUGUUAGAAAAAAAACAAUUUCUUUAAGGACCAAUUAAUUUAUAUAGGAGUUCAAUUUCCAAAUUGAUAUAAAAACAUGACAUUGUUAGGAUGGAAAUGGGAGAAACUUUUCUUUAAGGACCCAUGAUCAUCAAUCUCUCUAACCGGAGGUAAUGAAUGGAAAAUUCAACCCCAUAUAUAGAAGCAUCCUUUUCUUAUCAGCAAUCAACAUUUUUCCUUGAUCUAUUAAUAGAUAUUUUCAAAAUAAAGGUUUUUUAAACUUUAAUAUCGUACUGGCUGAAUCCUGAUAUGGACAGGAUUCUUGAAAGAUAUUUUGUUUUUCACACAUAUUGAAUAUAAUUACAGUGUGGUCGACUUGGUCACAGGAAGCAAAUAACUUUCGACGAUUUUCACCAUUAAUUAUCAAUCUCGGAGAAUUCAUAAAAUUGAAAAUUCAACUCCAUAGAAGCAUCUUUUCCCCCCAAAUUUUACCAUGGAUAUUAUACUAGGAUGUAAGAAAAGAUUAUAUUAAUUUAUUAAUAUUUUUUUCAAUUAAUUUUUUUAAAAACCUUAAUAUAAGUGUUUUUUUCAUAUAUAUUAAAAAUUAUUAGAAAAUAAUAUAAAUUAUAUUUUGUAAUUUGAUCAAAUAACUUAAGUUAUUGGAUUAAAAUAAUUCUUUAAUAUGAUAUCAGAAUUAAUGAUCAAAACAAUCACGAGUUUAAAUCUCAUUAUUUUUAUUUAUUUUAUAAAAAUUAAAUAUAAAAUAAUAUAAAAUUUUAAAAAAUUUUACUUUAAAAAAUAUAUUAAAAAAUAAUAAAUCAUAUUUUGCGAAUUCAAAAAUAAUUACAGCAUGGUUAACAUGAUCAAAUAAUAGGAAGCAAAAAACUUUCAACUAUUUUCUCGUUUUUUCCUCCCCGUAAUAGUCUGCUGUUUGCAUAAUGUAAACAAGUUUGACCGUUCAAAAAAAAAAAAAAAAAGACGCCAGUAGAGUCCUUAAAAGGACGCCAGUGGCGUCCUUAUUAAUCCGCACGAUCAUGUUCAUUUUUUCAUUGGCGCUCCACUUCAGUACUUUGUCUCCCUUGGAAGCUCAAGAAAACAAAAUCAUUUUAGCUGUUCAUUUAGAUUUCUAUGAUUCAAGUUCCAAAACCCAGAAAGAAGAAUAGAGGAACAAAAUCUGGGGUUUGGUUUGUUUUAGUUGCUGUUUAAGUAUACUUAUCCACCAUCAAUGGAGAGUGCUGAUAUUUACAGAGCUAGUAGUAGUUUAAGAGAUAGUUUAAGAGCAGGUUCGUUUGUAUGGAGAAACAGUACUGUAGAAGCAUUUUCAAGAUCUUCACGAGAAGAAGAUGAUGAAGAGGCUCUAAAAUGGGCUGCGCUGGAGAAACUACCUACUUAUGAUCGUUUAAGGAAAGGUAUAUUGAUGAGUGCAUCGAGAGGUGUGAGUAGUGAGGUAGAUAUCGAAAAACUCGGAGUCCAAGAGAGAAAACAGUUGCUGGAAAGGUUGGUCAAAGCUGCAGACGAGGAUAAUGAGAAGUUCUUGUGGAAACUCAAGAAUCGUAUUGAAAGGUAAAAUACUCUCCUUUGGUUUGUACAUUUACUUUGUUUGGUUUGCAGAGAAAAUUUUAGAAAGGAAUCAAGCUUUUAGAUCGAAACAAAAUGGUUCUACUUAAUUGGAUACUUGUUAGUCUCUCUUUCAUGAUAUAUGGAUUGAUCUAAAAAGAAAAUAUGGAUUUUGUUCUCCCUCUAUUUACUUGGAAUACAGAGGAACUCUGUUUUGGCUGUUGAAGUUCUUGAUUUUUGGCGUUUCAGGGUUGGAAUUGAGUUUCCAACAAUUGAAGUGCGGUACGAGCAUCUAAAUAUUGGAGCUGAAGCUUAUGUAGGAAGUGGUGCUUUGCCUUCAUUUGCUAAGUUCACUUUUAGUAUAAUAGAGGUAACUACAGCUGCAAACAUUUGACAUCAGUUAUUACUACCGAUUGCCAAAAUAUGAUGCUUUUCUUAUUAGCUAAUAACUCAUACAUCAAUUUUGAAGGAUCUACUCAUUGCUCUUCGUAUAAUUCCAAGUAGAAAGAAACCACUCACCAUCCUUAAGGAUGUUAGUGGAAUCAUCAAGCCAUCAAGGUAAGAUGAUCAUGAUCUAGAAUCUGUUUGCUUCAAUAGUUAGUUGCCUAUUCUUAAGUUUUGUUUUUUGCUAUGUACAUGUUUUAGAUUGACUCUGCUCUUGGGUCCUCCAAGUUCUGGGAAGACCACUCUUCUGUUGGCAUUGGCUGGAAAGCUUGAUCCCAGUCUUAAGGUGGUGAUAGAUUCUCGUAAAUUUGUGUAUUCCAUGAGGAUUUAGCUUUAGUUUUCUGCUUUAAUUUGAGAAGCUGAAUUCUUUCUUGCAGUAUUCUGGUCGCGUGACAUACAAUGGUCAUGGGAUGAACGAGUUCGUACCACAAAGAACGGCUUCCUAUACCAGUCAACAAGAUCUCCAUAUAGGAGAAAUGACCGUGAGGGAAACUUUGGCCUUCUCUGCCAGAUGCCAAGGGGUUGGAAACCUUCACGGUUAGAAUAAUGGACUAGAUUUUAUUUGCACCCAACAGAAUCAUAAUCCACUCUUGUGAUCUGUUCAAUAUUCAUAAUUUAAACAUGACUACUAAAUAAAAAUCCUUGCAAUUGUCAGAUAUGUUGGCAGAGUUGUCGAGAAGAGAGAAAGAAGCCAACAUUAAGCCUGAUCCAGAUAUUGAUGUCUUCUUGAAGGUGAUGAAAGAUAUUAAUAUUUUGCCUAUUAGACUUCCUUCAUAGUAGCUAGAAUAAGCUACGAUGAUGUAGAAAGCAAUGUUCAUUUUCUGUUGUUUCUGGUAUUACAGGCAGUAGCAACACAGGGUCAAGAGGCCAAUGUCAUCACCGAUUACGUCUUAAAGGUAGUACCACUAUGUAGCAUUGAAAUGUCAUGAAAGUCUUCAGAAAACGUGAACAGAAUAUCUCUAAAUCUCUUAAAUUCUCUGGAAAUUGUAGAUAUUAGGAUUGGAGGUCUGCGCAGAUACUCUGGUAGGUGAUGAAAUGAUAAGGGGUAUCUCUGGAGGACAAAGGAAGCGUGUUACAACUGGUAAAAAUCUCCAUUAGUCCAUAACUAACAUCAGAGAAAAAUUAUUUCGCUUCACUCUCCAAUUAAUCUACAAAAAUCUCCAUUGAUCUGUCAUAGGUGAAAUGCUGGUCGGACCAUCAAGGGCAUUGUUUAUGGAUGAGAUUUCUACAGGCCUGGACAGCUCAACAACUCACCAAAUUGUGAACUCAUUAAAGCAAACUAUUCACAUUCUCAAUUACACUGCCGUCAUCUCGCUUCUCCAGCCAGCACCGGAGACUUAUGACCUCUUCGAUGACAUUAUUCUCCUGUCAGAUGGCCAAAUUGUGUACCAGGGUCCUCGUGAAAAUGUGCUUGGAUUUUUUGAACAUUUGGGCUUCCAGUGUCCUGAAAGAAAAGGCGUGGCAGAUUUUCUGCAAGAAGUAAGCUUAAAUGAAGCGGUUUUACAUGGAACCUUUACUACACUAGGAUCUCCUAUGUUCAAUAAAAAGAGCCUCGUGUAAGUAUCACAAUCUUCAUGAUCGAUAAUGAAGGAGUUUUUCGCAGGUGACGUCUAGGAAAGAUCAAGAGAAGUAUUGGGCACGUAAAGAUCAGCCUUACAGGUUUGUCACAGUCAACGAAUUUGCUGAGGCAUUUCAAUCACUCAGCGUGGGACGAAGGGUCAUAGAGGAGCUUUCAAUCCCAUUUGACAAGACCAAGAACCAUCCAGCGGCAUUGGUAAACAAAAAGUAUGGAGCUGGAAAGAUGGAUCUGCUUAAAGCUAACUUCUCAAGAGAAUUCUUGCUCAUGAAGAGGAACUCAUUUGUCUACAUCUUCAAGAUAUUCCAAGUAAUUAUCGAUAGUCAUUACAAUAUCCAAGUUUUGUUUACUUUCAAAUUUUGCAUUCAAUGUGACUCCUUUUCACUUCGUAUCAGCUUACAAUGAUGGCAAUUAUUUCAAUGACACUCUUCUUCCGGACCAAGAUGCCUCGAGAUACAGUCGAGGAUGGUGGAAUUUAUGCUGGUGCUUUGUUCUUCACUGCGAUCAUGAUCAUGUUUAAUGGUAUGGCUGAGCUGUCUAUGACCAUCGCAAAGCUUCCUGUGUUCUACAAGCAAAGGGAACUCCUAUUCUUUCCUCCAUGGACAUAUUCAAUUCCGCCUUGGAUCCUGAAAAUUCCCAUUACAUUUGUUGAAGUUGCUGCAUGGGUGUUCCUAACUUAUUAUGUAAUCGGAUUUGAUCCAAACAUUGGAAGGUAAAUAAGAAUUCUUGAUUUUCUGUAAGCUUGUACCAGAAUCCAUUCUGAUCCAGCUGUUAUAACAAGGUUGUGUUUCUUUCUUUCAUUUUUUGCAGGUUUUUUAAGCUGUACGCGGUGCUUGUGCUAAUUAACCAGAUGGCAUCUGCACUAUUUCGAUUUAUUGCUGCAGCUGGAAGGAACAUGAUUGUUGCCAACACAUUCGGGUCAUUUGUGCUCCUCGCAGUUUUUGCGUUGGGUGGCGUCAUCUUGUCAAGAGGUAUGAUGAGUAUAAUAUCGCACUCGAAAAUUAUAUUUUUUCUGCCAAACCUGGAGGAACUCAUUGUGUUUUUUUGUUGAAUGGAACAGAGCAAAUAAAGAAAUGGUGGAUAUGGGGUUACUGGGCUUCACCAUUGAUGUACGGGCAGAAUGCAAUAGUAGUGAAUGAGUUCCUUGGAAAUAGUUGGAGUCAUGUAUGGUUUCUUUAACUCACCGUCUGGAUAUUUGUGCCUUCGGCUCUCAAUAAUCAACUGGUAUCUGAAGUUAUUUUUCGAAUCACAGAUUCCUGCAGGCUCCACAGAAUCACUAGGAAUCCAAGUUUUGAAGAGUCGCGAAUUCUUCACAGAAGCGUAUUGGUACUGGAUAGGAAUCGGGGCAACAGCAGGAUUCAUACUACUAUUCAAUGUCUGCUUUGUUGUGGCCCUCACUGUCCUCGAUGGUAAGUGUCAUUACCUUCACAACGCCAUACCUCUUGAAAGUUGGAGCUUAUAUUAAUAUAUAGCAAAUUAUGUUGGCAGCAUAUGAGAAGCCUCAGGCUGUUAUAUCUGAAGAACCGGAAAGUGGUGAUUCUGAAGGAGCUGUUCAGUUAUCAAACCGUGGAAUCAGUCACCAAACCAACACAGGUAAAAGAACUCAAAUAAUGAAGUGCUCAAGUCAUUUUCCAGCCUAUUAGGUAUCAGAUUAUCGAUAUAUUUUCAAUUUACAAGCAACGAGUGGAGUUGAAAUUAAUAGAAGUGGUUCAGAUUCCAUUGGUGAGGCCAGCAACAACAGGAAGAAAGGAAUGGUUCUUCCAUUUGAACCACAUUCCAUCACAUUUGAUGAUGUUAUUUACUCCGUUGACAUGCCACAGGUAUCAAGAUUUAGUGAAGUACGAUUAUACCUCGCUUUGAUGUCAUAUGAUUGAAUGAACAUGGAAAAACUGAUCAUGUUGGUGUUGAGAUUUGCAGGAAAUGAAAGUUCAAGGAGUCGCUGAGGAUAGGCUGGCGCUUUUGAAGGGUGUGAGUGGUGCUUUCAGGCCCGGUAUCCUUACAGCUUUGAUGGGUGUUAGUGGUGCUGGAAAAACGACUUUGAUGGAUGUGUUAGCUGGUAGGAAAACUGGUGGAUAUAUUGAGGGAGACAUCAAGAUUUCAGGGUACCCAAAGAAGCAAGAAACUUUUGCUAGAAUUUCUGGAUACUGUGAGCAAAAUGACAUUCACUCUCCACAAGUUACCGUCUAUGAAUCCUUACUCUACUCAGCUUGGCUUCGUCUACCCUCAGAAGUUGACUCUGAAACCAGAAAGGUAGGCACCCUUUGCCUUGAAUUUAAAUACGCUUCAUACAUUAGGUAUUUAGCGUGCAGAUUUGUGGUUCCGUGAAUAUUUUCUUGUUUUCGUGCUUGUUUCAUCCAAUUAAGUUUAAUUUAGCUUUACCAUUUUAUACUUUAUCCUUAGAUCAAGAUCAAUGUCCCGGUUCUAUCUAGCAAAGGAUACUGCUGGUGAACUUGAUCUUAUGCGGUGAUUGUGCUAAAUAUUAUGGUUUUUUUAGUCGGCCUAACCCAGUCAACUUCUACAUUUCUAGAUGUUCAUUGAGGAAGUCAUGGAUCUUGUGGAGUUGAAUCCGUUGCGCAGUGCAUUAGUUGGGUUGCCUGGUGUGAAUGGUUUGUCCACUGAGCAACGCAAGCGGCUAACCAUUGCAGUUGAGCUAGUUGCAAACCCUUCUAUCAUAUUCAUGGAUGAGCCAACUUCAGGGCUAGAUGCUAGAGCCGCUGCCAUUGUGAUGAGAACAGUUAGGAACACUGUUGACACAGGAAGAACAGUUGUUUGCACCAUCCAUCAGCCCAGUAUAGAUAUAUUUGAUGCUUUUGAUGAGGUAAAAAUUGUUAACAAAUUAUCUGAGCUAGAGCUUUGUCAAGAGUUUAUCAACAUAAUAAUCUGGAUUAUUAACAUGGCAUUGUAGUUAUUCCUGAUGAAGCGAGGAGGUGAAGAGAUAUAUGUUGGGCCAGUGGGUCGUCACUCUACCCAUCUGAUUAAGUACUUUGAGGUAUGUGUAAUUUGGUUAAUAAUUAAAUAACCUAUGCUCAUACCAACUAUAAUUGACUAAUAUUCAUUUAAUUGUUCAGGAAAUUGAAGGAGUGAGUAAAAUUAAAGAUGGCUAUAAUCCAGCAACUUGGAUGCUGGAGGUUACUUCAUCAUCACAAGAGAUGGCUUUGGGGGUUGAUUUUGCUAACAUUUACAAGAAUUCAAAUCUGCUCAGGUCAGCUAAAGUAGUUUUUUAAAGUACUGAAAAAUAUUCUAAAGCCCUCCCAAAUAAGCUUUGAUGACAUGAAAUAGUAAAGCACUUAAUAAUUGAGAAUUAGAGUUCAAUUUGUCUAAAGUUUGUCUCUGAUGCGUGGCUUAAUUCAGGAGAAACAAAGCACUUAUUGCAGAACUAAGCACACCUGCUCCUGGCUCGAAGGACAUUUAUUUCUCUACGCAGUACUCGACAUCAUUUUUCACACAAUGUAUGGCUUGCUUGUGGAAGCAACACUGGUCAUACUGGAGGAAUCCACCAUACACUGCCGUGAGAUUUCUUUUCACAACCUUUAUAGGGUUGAUGUUUGGGACAAUGUUCUGGGACCUUGGCUCCAAAGUGUAAGUCACAAUGGCUAGCUUAAAACAAUAUAUAUAGAAGGUGACGCUUUGAUGGUUUGCCACAUGCAGCUCUACCAAUUCAUCUAACUAGUCUUACAAACUGUAGGGGCACUGCCCAGGAUCUUUCCAAUGCUAUGGGUUCAAUGUAUGCAGCUGUUCUUUUCCUUGGUUUUCAAAAUGGAUCAGCUGUACAGCCAGUGGUGGCUGUUGAAAGAACUGUCUUCUACAGAGAAAGAGCUGCCGGAAUGUAUUCAGCUUUGCCCUAUGCCUUUGCACAGGUAAUCUAGGAUUCACCUCAUCAAGUAAAUUAUUAUUGCAUGUUUCAUGUAUUGAUCACCAAAACUUCAUCUUAUGUUGCAGGUCUUGAUUGAGAUUCCUUAUGUAUUUGUUCAAUCCGCUGUCUAUGGUGUUAUAGUUUAUGCAAUGAUUGGGUUUGAAUGGACUGCUGCUAAGUUCUUUUGGUAUCUGUUCUUUAUGUACUUCACACUAUUAUACUUCACCUUCUAUGGAAUGAUGUCUGUGGCUGUGACUCCAAACCACCACAUUGCUGCCAUAGUUUCCACCGCAUUUUAUUUAAUAUGGAACCUCUUCUCGGGGUAUAUAGUCCCUCGACCUGUAAGUGCUAAAUAUUACUAUAUAUCUUAAUCAUUUCAAAUUCUAAGUUUCCAUAGUGACUGGUUACCUUGAGGAACAAUAUCGUGAUUCUUUUUUCUGCUUUGGUCUAUUACAACAGCGGAUACCUAUAUGGUGGAGGUGGUACUACUGGGCAUGCCCCGUAUCAUGGUCCUUGUAUGGAUUGGUUGUAUCACAGUAUGGAGAUAUACAGAAGAACCUCACCGAAACUGAAACAGUGAAACAAUAUGUGAAGAACUAUUUCGGAUUCGACCAUGAUUUUGUUGGAGUGGUUGCAGCCGCGGUUCUUGGCUGGACAGUCCUCUUUGCGUUCAUAUUUGCCUUUUCUAUCAGAGCCUUCAACUUCCAGAGGCGAUAGGGAUUUUCUUUACAUGCUUCAUUCUAUGUUUCUCCCUUUUCUGUGUGUAGGCUAGCUAUUUUAGUAUUUCAAGUUUGUAACAACACGUUAAUAUAGUUUAUUGAAACUUAUUAACUAAGAUAAUUAAGUUAAUGUUAAUCAAUGCUUGUAGUUCCACAAACUGCAUACAUACUUCGUCUCAUAAAUCUAUAUGUAACUUCCAUGUCCUUCUCCUAUUUAUUUGGGUUUAGAAAAUAAUGAUUUAUUUUUUACUAUUCUACAUGCUUAACGAGGUUUUUAUAUUCCUUAAUAAUUAAAAAUAAAAUUCUUUUUUUUUUAAUCUUAAUAUGACUGGUUUAAGACAAGACGAGUAGGAGAAACAAAAAAUUUGGAGGUGAACCUAGUUCACUACUUCAUAUUAUUGAUCAGCCAAUAGUGCUAUGGCACAUGUCAUCCUAUUUAACUACAUCAUCAACUUGAAAAUAAAAAAUAAUAACUGAUCAUUAUAAAAAAAAUCGAAAUGAUUAGGACCAGAACGGUUUCCAAAAUGAUUACCAGUUAAAAUUCCAAAACUUUAACAGCUAAAAACUUGUAAUGUUUUGAAAUAAAAAGAAAGAUUUAAGAUUAUUACGAUAAAAAAUCAUCUCAAUUCAAGAAUUUAAAUUAUUAGAUAAGGUCUCAGGAUAUGAUUUAUAUUAUUCUCUAACAUACCCCCUCAAGUGAAAGCUCUUUAAACUUGAAACUUGCACAAAUUUAUAUUACCUUGUGCUUGAUUUUUAUCAAAUAAAUAGAGCUGGUGAGAUUUGAACUCGUGACCACUCAAUCAUCAAGACUUUAAUACCAUAUCAAAGAAUCAUCUCAACCCAAUAGCUUAAGCUGAUAAGUAAAAUUACAGGAUAUAAUUUAUAUUAUUCUGUAACAAUUAUAAUGUUAUUAUAUAUUUUGAUAAAAUGGCCAAGAAAAAUGAUUAAUGGGCGAUUAUGCAAACAAAGAUUAUUACUUGUAAUAUUUUAUUAAUGGGCGAUUAUGCAAAAAAAGAAAAAAGAAAUAAAUUGUAGGAUCAAGCAAAAUUAGAAAAUUAUCGAUAGAUAUCCUACUCAUUAAGAAAAGGAAACUUAAUUAAUCUACUCAUUAAGAAAAGGAAACUUAAUUAAUUAGAAUCCAUAAUCAAGAAAGAAACAAUAUAAUUACCUAAUAUUAUUUUUGCAGUUUAGUUUUUCAUGUUUUGCAAACGAUCCUGGGAAAGAUAAAUAAAGAAGAGAACACCUCAAAGAGAAAGGGGACACGCAUAAAGAAUGAAGGAGGAGAUUCUUGCAAAGAAAAACCUAGCUAACAAAAGAAAAAAUUAAUAAUAAAAAAAACAAUCCUAAAAAUUGUUGCAGAAAAGAGGAGAAGACAAACCAAACUUUGCAGCCACUGAUCUCCCACCGUGAGCAGUAGUGACAUACAUCACCGGUUAGAAAGCAAGAAGGAGAGGAGGGGCAACCUGUGGAUAGAGUUCACGCCCCCCGACACGCUUGCGAGUGAGAAAACCAUUCCAUAACACCUAUAGUUCCACCACAUGUUUUGUACAUGCGCCACCACUGUUUUAUUUUUCUAGCACUGUUUCACCUCGUUUCGACCCACCCAGUCAAGUUCCAACCGACUUCAAUGACUUUUAAAGGUUAAUUUUAACCCUUAAUGUUUGAUUUACUUGUUAGAAUUAUUUGCGUCAUAUAUGGUGGUUUUUAAUUUUUAAAUGCGUUGUUGAAUAUUGUUGUUAUUUGUUUUGUUUUGAGUAAUUUGUGAGGUGUGGUUUUUUUUUUGGUAGAUUAUAUUUGUUUACAUUAAUUGAGUUUUAUUGAAUUAUUUGUAAUACGUCAGCGAAUAUUUUUUCUGAUGUGUGGAUAUAUUUGUGGAGUUGUGUUGAGACUUCUGUUUAAUAACAAUGUAUCAAUUGUUUUUCAUUUGAGAACUCAACCCAAAAUUAGGCUAUUUAUUAUUGACUUUUAUCUUUGAAUGUUGACUAUCAGGUAAUAAAAUUGAUGGGUAUACAUUCGUGUUUCUAGAUGAUUGUUAUGGCAUUUUUUUUUCAUUGUGGCAUAUGAUAUCAAUUGUUUUUUAUUUGAGAACUCAAUCCAAAAUUAGGCUACUCGUUAUUGAUUUCUAUCUUUGAAUGUUGACUAUCAAGUAAUAAAAUUGGUGGAUAUACAUUCGUGUUUUUAGGUGAUUAUUAUGGUUUUUUUUCAUUGUGGCAUAUUGUUUAGCAUAUAAGUUGAGAGUUCAAAUCAGGAUUAGAUGAUUCAUUCUCGUCUCAUAUUCUUGAUGGUUAAUUAACAAAUAUUUAAAUUGAAAAAUACAUGUUUAUGUCAAAUCCAAUGCCUAUCUUUUGUCAAAAUGGUUAGAACAACAAACACAUAUUAAUUUAAAACAAACAACAAUUCAACUUAUCCUAGAUAUGAUGAAUAAGAUGAUUAUAUCUUUUAUAUUACAUAAUCAACCCCUUAUCUAGAAUUUUGAAUAAAAUCAGUUAGAAUUCCUAGUUAUUGUAAAAUUAGAUGGCGGCCCCUACUUUUAAUUUUACUAUUUUUACCAUAUUGCUCGUCGCGAUGUCGCAUGUGACAUGUAUAAUGGACAUAAUACGGAUAUGUGACUUUCUAGCAAACAAAGAUGGUAGAUAAAUUCUCCUUAAAUAUAUAAAAAAAACAAGAGAUUGUUGAAAAAUAGAAUAAUUUUUUUAUUUUUGAAAAUUGGAGUAAGAAAAAGGAAAACAAAAAACUCAAUGUUCAAAUACAAUAUUUCUCCUUCCAAAAAUAGAAAAACUAGUUUUCUAAAUUUGCUCUUAUUUUGAAGAACACAUUUUAGAAAUUCCUCAUAAUUUUCCUAUUGUUUUUUAAAUAAAAAAAGGACAUAUAUAAUAUAUAUUUUUAGAUGCAAGCACUUUUUUGCAAUGUAAAAGAUUAAAUUUUUUUUAAUAUUUUCAUAUUUUAUUAGUAUCAUGAAUUUAAUUUUUAUUAUAAAUCUAAUAUAAAGAUUUUCUUAGUAAUAUAACUUUUUUCACAAUAAUUAUUAAUUUGAAUAAUAUAAAAUAAAAAUUUUAUAGUUAGAUUAUUAUAAAUACAAAAUAUUAAGAUGAUUAUUUUAUAGUUAGAUUAUUAUGAAUUAUGAAUUUGAUUUUUUUAUAAAUUUUUUUGUAAUCUUGAUGUUUUUUUUUGGUGAAAAAAGUCAUCUUUCAUAACUCUUCAUUUUGCAUUAUUGCAUGUGGGACAUAUAAUAUCUUCCCUAUCUCCCACGCACGAAGAACAACAAUGUGAAUUCUAGUUCCAUUUGGUGUCAUGGGAUGGUUUUCUUGAAACUAAACUCUAUUACAGUAAAAACGCAUAGGAAAACUCUUUUCUUAUUAAAUCUUCUUAAUAAUACAAAACCUUUUUUUGUGUUAAUACUAUUAUUGAACUUCUUGGACCGAUCAUAAAACUUCAUUAGCAUAUAACCAACUGGAGGAUCACUGGUCUAUAUAUCUACUCCUUUGGUUUUCUUGGACUUUGCCUUCUUCUCACCAGAAACCUAUACACACUGCUUCAUUUUUUGUGGGAACUUAUAAAUUAGUGUUAGAAUAGAAUUCUAGGAAAUGAUGUCGUUGUUAAAUUACAUUCCUUACUUUCUCUCACGUUUAUAGUGGAGAUUGCGUUAGGAGAGGUUUCCAUAUAUUAACUCAUGAACAAGCUCUCUCAAGUACAGGCCUUUUAGACCUGAAUCUGAUAGCAAUAUCUUUUGUGAUACUGUACCGCUAUGAAAAUCUCUGUAAUGUGGAAAUUUCUUUUACUGUUAUUAAAAUCUAGUGCAAGUCCAUGAUAUCUUAUCUUGUUCUCAUUUACUGAAAUACGCUGAGCACUUGCUGAAUAAUGCUAUGAAUAGCAUGAUAGACUUUGGAAGGUAAAAUAUUUUUCUACUAGAUUGAAAAUAAAUACUACACCCUCGUUAACAUGAUCAAACAAUAGGAAGCAACUGCAGCUUCAACAAUUUUCCCUCUGUUUUUUUCCCCUCGUUUUCUCCUCUUCAUAGAAAGGCGAACAAGUUUGAGUGCUCACAUGAAGAGCCACCAGUAGUGUACUUAUGUAUUACUAUAAUAUAUAUCCUCACAUUUCGAACUCAUUUUUCAUGCACGCUCCAAUUCCCUUUUGUUUCCCUUAUCAAGAAAACAAAAUCUGGGUUUGAUUCAUUUUAGCUGUCUGUUAAGAUUUCUUUGAUUCGAGUUCCAUAACCAAGAAAGAGGAAACAAAUUCUGGGGUUUGUUUUGUUUUUGUUGUUGUUUAAGUGUGCUGAUCCAUCAUCAAUGGAGAGUGCUGAUAUUUAUAAAGCUAAUAUCAGGUUCUUCGGUAUGGAGAAACACUACGGUGGA
rnacentral:lncRNA from 1 species